AGCGACACAUGCACGCUGGAAAUGGACCGGUUGUCGUAUGCACCCAGAAGAAACACUCAUAACAGGCUGCAUGGUCAGAGCAGGGAUAGUGCGUUGUGAAUUGAUUUUUGCCAGCAUCAUCGACAUCAUGUCCUUGUAGCUUCUUCGGUCAGCAGCAGCAGCUUCGUCGCCACUCUCUUGCAGAUACUCCCAUACACGACGGAGCUAUGCGAGGCGUAACUUAUGUCAUGUUUACUCUACUUAUAGUAUGAGCUGGUGGUGGUAGUUAGUAUUAGGGGGCCUUGCUUCUUUUUUCCGGAGGUUUUGGUCCAGUAUUCUUGUGUUGGUUUUAGCUUAGGGAUGUGAUGUCCACUGUGUGAACCAUGUAAAGGCAAGCGGGGGUAUCUAUAUUUUUGUUGUUGUAUAAAAACUUGACAUGGUGCUACUGACAAAGGAGGCGAGGACAAUGAAAACAUUAGUUCGUGUGUGAUCAUGUUUUACUUAACGGCCCAGAGUUUGCAUGUGUUUUUUCUUGCCAGAAGUGUUUUUUUAAGGGCCAUAAGUGUCUCUAAAUGUGAGUUGUUUUGGCAAUGUCUUUGAAUAUCUGUAUUUCUUAUUGGACCGCCUUUUUUAGGAGCUGUAAUCUAUUGUUUUUGCUUGGUGUCUUAAUCAGCUUUGCGGUACAUGAGAUCUUUUUUAGGGAAAAACAUAUAAUUUUAUUCACACAUAAUGGUUAUAGGUACACUAAUUUGAAUUUAAGAUAAAAAACAAAGUAACUCAAAAAAAUGAGGAAGAAUUACAGUGGUAUCUAUUUGGAAUAUCUUCUUUGUGGUGUCAAUCUCUGUGAGACGAAAUACUCCUAAAACUUCAAUAAGGAGGCUGCAAUUAGAAUGGAGCAGCGAUGAUGUCACUCUUUCACCCACACACAAGCAUUACCAAUAAAGAUUUUUGAAAGCCCCUUGAGUCUCCCAUUCAAAAAGAUGGGAAGCUUUGAGCGUUGAAUAUACUUUGGCUGGGGAUGGUCCCCUAGAAGCACAUGCCAUAGAAUCACAAUAUCUUCACCAUGGUGUCAAUGAAAUAUUUAAUCUCCAUAGAGGAAAAAGCUUGACACGCUAACAUAAACUCAUCAGACCUAACUAACUGGAUUUGUGAGGACACAAAACUCUCUAACUUUCUGGCACCACCAAAAAAGAACAAGAGUAAUAUUGUUCUCAUAAAAUAACAAUCACCACCAAACACUGACGAAGAUAUAACUCUUGUAGACCCGAGGUUUCCUCACAUCUCAGCGCCAAAAUGACAGCGAAGGUGAAGGGACCAAAAUUUCUUUGGCAGCGGCGAUAGUUCUUUGGGAACACUCACAUGCACGGGUCCUCUUAUUUAGCGACCUAUGUGUGGGACAACACACAAACGUGCACCCCCUCCCUUCUCCCGUGCACGAUUGGGACUGCCCGUGUGUGGGCGCGUGGCACCCUGGUUUUUUUUAUCCUUUUUCUUUCUUUUAUAACUUCAAAAAAUGAUUGAGAUUUCAACAAAUAUCAAUUUCAUGAAUUGGGAAAAGGUUUCUGGAUUUUAAAAAAAGUUCAUGGAUUUGAAAAAGAGCUAAGAUUUCAAAAAGUUCCUAAAUUUCAAAUAUUUUUCACGAAUUAAAAAAAUGCUCCUGGAUUUCAAAAAUAGUUCAGGAGAUUAAAAAAAUGCUCCUAAAUAUCAAUAAAUGUCCGGAAUUUAAAAACUGUUGCAAUUGUAAAAAAUAUUAUGAACUUGAAAAAGGUUUAUGGAUUUAAAAAAUUAUUUAUGAAUUUUAUUCUUUCUAGAAUUGUCAUAAAUAUAAAAAUAUAUUCAAAAUAGCGCUCUGAAUUUCAAAAGAACAUUCCGAAUUUCAAACAAGUUCAUCAAUUUGAAAAUCUUCCUAGAUUUUAAAGAAUGUUCAUAAAUUGAUUUUUUUUCAAGUAUUUGAAAUAUAGAAAAAAAUUCCAGGUUUCAAAAAAUGUUCAUGAAUUUAAUAAAAAGCUGUUUGAAAAAAUGCGAAAUAAAACGAAAACUUAAAAAAAGAAAAACAAUGAAAACUAAAAUAAAAAUAUUUCACAGUGCCACAGCUCCCGCGCCAGGUUGUGCGAUUGCCCGGUAUACCCCCACAAUACAGGUGGAGUAGGAUUGUUAAAAUAAAUACAUUUUUGAAAUUUCUUGACCAUAUUUUUGAAAACAAGAACAAUAAAUAAAUUUCGUUAACUUUAAUUUUAUUGCAUGCGAGCAUAUUUUUUAAAGUCGUUAUAUUUUUCAUUUUACCUUUUUUUAACCUUUGUAUGCAGCCGGUUUGCCUUGUGGAAUUGGGCUAAAAAACUAAACAUACAUAAAAGAAAAUCACUCUUUGCUCAGAACGCAUAUAGCAUCAUAUAGGGGCUCCCGUGAAAAAGAAAGUUCCAAGAGAUGAGGAUGUCUUAACUUUUUAUGGAUAAAUAGACAAAUAGCUUUCCUUCACGUUGGUCAAUUUGUAAGUUGUUGUCAUCUCAUUACAGAGGGGGAAAAGAAAAGAUACCUAAGUUGGUGAAGUUGAGGUGAUUGCUAUCUUCAGCGUCUAUUGCUCCACGAAUGCACCCUUCUAGGUCUUCGUCUUCAGCAUACGCGGACGGCAAGCAAGGUCGCGACUCGCACGAUAGGAAGGUUCCGUCGACCGGGUCCUCAUUCAGUCAUCCUCGCUGCUCGUGGACAACACAUGCUAAUCACCAGACCGUGAGCGUUUUUCCUGGGUACCUCACUUACACGGCGGCACCUACUAGAUAUCAUGACCUGAUCAGCACCAGUCUGACCGCAUCAUUGAUCGAUAUCUUUUUGCACGAGAAACUUUCAACCUAUUCGGGCAGUGGAAAGAACAUCAGAGAUAACAGAAGUUACAGUUAGGUUCAUGGAUCACCUAUCAACGACUACAAGCUCUGGAGGAAGUCGAAGGCAUGCCGUUGACGUCGCCCCCACCCAAGCCAGAAAAACCUUGUUACAGUGGACAGUCGAAAAGUCGCUGCACUAAAGUUUCACAUAAUCAGCGCACCAGAGCAACAAUCAUCAUGGACGAAGAGAGUCAUAGAUCGAAAAGAUCAAAUCUAUAAAAACACAUGAAUGAAGAUUAUCCAAAUAGAUUCACCGAAAACCAGCAUCAACUGAACCCCACGGAAAAAGGAAAAGGAAAGAAGAAGAAAACCGUACCUGCGCUAAAAUGGGUUGGCUCAUUAUGGGCUACGGUCACUAGUUAAGGAUUGUCUCACGCAAAGGUCAGUUCCAUUUUCUCAGACGCUGACAAGUGGCACACUAUAUAUGUGUCAAUUGUCGCAACCUAUGGUUUUCUCUUUUUUUUCCGUAGAUUUUGUUUAUUUAAAAUGUUUAUCACUCAAAUCGUGCGUCUAAAUUCCAAAUAGUUUUUACCACUGGAUUUCUCGUUGCAACUAGACCCCAUGUUAAUAGGGAUUUUUUGUCAAAAGAGACCACCCGCCGGAUUGAAAUGACAAAAAAGACCACCUCUGAAUCAGAUUGACAAAAAAGACCCCCUCGUCGUGGCGGCAGACGCGGCAGGUGACACGUGGCGCCUGCCGCCACGACGUGAGGCGGCCGGCCCCGCCGCCACGCUGCGAGGCGGCCAGUCAUGGGCAACAGAAAUCCAGGCCAGCGACGGAACGGAGCUACGUAUGAUGGGCCACGCCGCCACCGUAUGAGGCGGCCGGUAGUGUAGCCCUGGGAGCGGCAUUGUAGCGUGCACUGCUGCUGCUGGGCCAUGCCGCCACCAGUUGAGGCGGCUGGCACUGCUACUGGUGCAAAGAGGGACGAGCUGCACUGCUGCUGCUGCACGCGGCCUGCCGUGGGCGGGCACUAUAUUACUAAUUAACUAAUUUGUCUCGCAUAUAUGCUACACAGAUUGCAGCGUUCAACCUUUGAUGCAAUUUAUUUUUAAUUUUAGCAUUGCGUGUGUCAUCAUGUCCACUAGAAUAUAUGGGUUUUGAUAAAUAGAAAUGAAGAGGAAACAACCUGCGGUUCGGUUGACUUGAUAAACUUACAGAGAAGACCUAUUGAUUCAUCAUAAGUGAGAGUAUUGUUAGAACAAUUUUAAAGGUAAUAUAUAUGCACAAAUUAUUUUAAAGGUAAUAUAUAUGUGCAGCAGCAGCAGUGCAGCUCGUCCCGCUACAGUGCAGCGCGUAGCAGCUACAGUGCCGGCCGCCUCGACGGGUGGUGGCAUGGCCCUGCAGCAGCAGUGCGUCGCUACAGUGCCGCUCCCAGGGCUACAGUGCUGGCCGCCUCAGCAGGUGACGGCAUGCCCCCCCCCCCAUACCCAGCUCCGUUCCGUCGCUGGCCUGGAUUUCAGUUGCCAGGGACUGGCCGCCUGGCAGCAUGGCGGCGGGGCCGGCCGCCUCACGUCGUGGCGGCAGGUGGCACGUGUCGCUUGGCGCGCCUGCCGCCACGGCAAGGGGGUCUCUUUUGCAAAUCUGACCCAGAGGUGGUCUUUUUUGCCAUUUGGAUCCGGCAGGCGGUCUCUUUUAACAAAAAAUCGUUAAUAGGUUUCGUCAAUCUUUUUUUCUCGACAAUCCAGAAACGAAAAAAAUCCCCAAAAAAUGAAAAAAAAACCCGGCAACUGAUAAAAAGACACAAAAUGAGGAAAACCAGAUCUUUUUUCACUUUUUGAGAAGCACAACGCAGAAGCAAAUUGUACUUGCAUGAGAAGCAAAGAUGUACUUCUCGUGGAAGCAUAUACUUUUUUCCCUUUCCGAGAAGUGUGCUUCUCACGGAAGCAAAUCUAUAACACAAAUCUUGUUCCUUCCGGAAGCAUACAUUUCUUUUCCGAGUAGCACGCGGAAGCAAAUCUGUGCUUCUUGUGGAAGCACAAAAUCCCCCCCUCCCCCUUUUCGAGGAACACAAUACGGAAACAAAUAUGUGCUUCUCGUGGAAGCACAUAUUUUAUCCCUUUUCGAGAAGCACAACUGUUCUUCUUGCAGAAGCAAAUAUAUGCUUCUCAUGGAAGCACAUUUUUUCCUUUUCGGAAGCACAACUCGCGCAAGCAAAUCUACACUUCUUGUCGAAGCAUAAUUUGUUUUCGGGCAAAAAAUCCAUAAUUUUCUCUCUCAAAACCUUGGGAAAACCAGACAAAAAUCAAAAAGCUGAAAAACAAGAAAAAACCCAUCUAAACCACUAAAUGUGUACAAUUUUUUUUUGAAAUCCAGAGGGACCAUUCAGCACGCGACAUGUGACAGCAGCUGGACGCAUCACUCAACAUGCUCGCAUUAACAACCUCCAGUUAGUUGCUCUCCAGCAAGAAGCUCGAGGGUCCAGAGUCCAAACGGGGAGCAAAAUCACUCAACAUCAAAAUCGGAGCCGCCAUGGCCUCGACGUUGUGGUCGUUUGUUUGGCGUUUCUGUGGCCAGGUUGUCCGCAUGUGCCCCUUGUGGGGUGUUUGUAUGUAGGUUUUCGCUCGGUUUUUUUAAUUAAUCAAGCAACUCUCUUCUUUUUAAUCAAUGAAAAUGGUAAAUUUUUUGUCUUGUUUUAAAAAAAAGAGUUUAAACGAGGAGCAAAAUCACUGAUAGGCCUCCACGUUUUCACGGACCAUUAAGCUUGAGCCCGUAUCCCUUUCCAUUUUCCCUCUGUAACUCUCAGCCCAUUCAAGGGCCGAGGAUGCUCUCUAGACUUUUCUUGGAUAGAUAGCUUUUCUCCAAGUUGGGCAUCGUCCCCAUGAAAAGCAAAAAAAGAAAAAAUGAAGCAAGUUGUUGUCACCUCGUCAACCAAAGACGAAGAAAAGAAAGAGGAGGAAAGAAAAGGUGCCCAAGGUUGUCAAGUUGAGGCGAUUGCUAAGAUUGCUAUCUGCACCUUUCUUUUUCCACGCCGCGGUUCACAUAUUCUCCUGUCGAGAGUUGCCUUACGCGGACGGCACGAGAGAGAUAGGAACGUUGCUUCCAUCCAUGUCGAGUCAACCUCCUCCUCCUCCUCCUCCUCCUCCUCCUCCUCCUUCUUCUUCUUCUUCUUCUCGCUGCUCGUGGACGGACGGCCGCAAGCGUGUUUCCCUGGGUUCGUUGCUACUUGCUACGUACUCCGUGGCCGUGAGCUGACCCUUUCUGGCCGCAUCUUCAUCGUCCUCCCGUGAAAGCGGAAGCAUGCGUCCUUCCGGCCACGAACGGAAAUGGAGUAUGGAAUAUGGGACGGGGUGCAUGGACCGGUGAGAAGCAUGCACGUGCCGACGACUCCGGUGGAUCGGGCCAAAUAGCGGCGACCGGCGUAGCUUUGCUCGUCAACGUACCCGGCUCGACAACGAACGUUGAAACCAAGUAGCCGACAACCAAAUGAAAUGCGCGGGGGCCACUAGCUAGCUAGCCCACGGGGUGGUCAGACUCAGACGGCCGGAGGCCCGCCGUUGGAAAACCAGGGUCCAUCGGCGGCUGCCGCGCAGGUACCAGCUCACCCGGCCGGCCACAUGAUGUCUCCUGGCCAAGCCAGUUGUGCGGCAGGGUGGACACGGUCUGAGCCGGUCCAGUCCCUGACCGAGCCGUGCUUUGGACCGGCCGCGACCGGUCCGGACCGGACCGGACCGAAGUGCCCAGCGGGCCUGUUUUCCUGGACCGGACCGGCGAGGAGAAAGCUCGGUCAGGACUCAGGACCGAGGGACCGAGCGAUGGAGGAGGGACGUGAGCUGCGUGUGUGCCUUGCGCCGGCCUGCGUUCGUCUGUGUCGUGCCCUGUCCUAAAGAUCAACUACUCCGGCUGCUUGCUGCAGACGAAGAGGCAGUUCAUCUAUGGUUGCAUCUCUGCCAACAUCAAGCUCGUCCUGGAGAACUCCGCCGCCCGUCGGCACCGUUACCGUCAGCACAUCGGCACUUCCAGUUUCAGAUUGCUAAUCAGCUUGUACUGCAGGACGGCGUCAAGUAGGUGCUUUCAAGAGGUAUGUACAUCGGCGCUUCCACUUUCAGAUUGCUAAUCAGCAUGUACUGCAUACAAUUCUAACUGUAUGUGCAUCAAUUAAUUGCCAAAUUCAGACAUUGGGACAAUCAUGACGAGAUCAACUUCCAGUUCAUGGGGAACAAGACGGGGCACACCAACGUGUGUGUGUUCUCCGACGUGUUUGUCUGCAACAGAGGUGCCCUUGGAACGAACCCACGCGAACGAGAGAUUGCUGAAGAAAAAAAAAGGAAGAUACAGGUGUUUUGCGCUGCACAAACUUCAGACCUUUUCUGUUCUAUUAGUCAGACUUACAGAACGGGAAACAAGACUUCGUGGCCCCUGACUUUGGGUCGUCGUGAUUCACAACACUGGUGCCGUUCCACGAGCAGACCGACGAGGCACGAGUCUGGCUCCAGGCAGUUAGACCCGCGAGCUAAACUAGCUAACAGAAGGAAAGUGUUCGAGCCUAACUUGACGAAAAACCAAAGUGCUAACUGAACUAACUGAAAACAUGACAGGAGCUUCGGAUUUAUUCAAGAGUGUUCGCCGACACGACGGGCAAAGAAUGAGAUACAGUUCGUGCCCUGCGUGCCUGCGUGCACAGGUUGCACUGCUUCAUCACGUCAGUAAGGCCGGGACUUGACGACUGCGACAAAAUUGAUGGCGGCAGACAGACGGCGGCCUUGAUCGGGGAAGAGAGGGUGCGUGCGUCGUGUAGGCGGUGUUCUGGACCAAUUCAUCGCACAGGCAGGAAGAUGGGGAUGCGGCGGUGCUCGGAGACGCGGUGGUUCGCUCGGGGGUUGCCGGUGGCCGUGACGAUGAGGAACGAGGACUGCGUUUUGUCGGUCCUCCUUGGGGGCUCGGUCAAAAUCCAGACCGGACCGAGAGUUUGUCGGGCCUAAUUGCUGAGCUCGGCCUGACCAUUUUUUCUACCGGGCCAGGACCGUAUGGUCCGGUCUAUAACGGGCCAGAAGCCCGCUCGUCACGUCCAGGCUGAGUUGUGCCUCCUGGCCUAGCGUCCUGCCAUGUCAACCAGCAGUUUUUUUUUGGUGGGGGGGAGAGGGUGGGAAAGGGGACAUGUAUACAUAUACGUAAGCCUGGGUUUUGUAUGCCACACCUGCAAUGUCUUUCUCCCUCUGUAUGCAGUGGUGAAUUUUGGAUGAAAAUGAAGGCCAGGCUCAACUUCUCAGUACAUGGGUUGGAACGGGUAGACAACAGGCUAGACACUUGACAAUGGGCUGAGAUGAGCUAGGAACCAGUAGCAAAUUUUUGUUUUACAAUUUCUGAGGGCAGGCUUGAGCCUGUUAAAGCAUGCCCAUAGAAUCGCCACUGUCUGUAUGUACUUGUAUUUUGGGAGACAAGACACCGAUCGCAUCCCUUGUACCUAUAUAUAUGUGCCUAGUGCACGAUCGAUCAAUUAUUGAUGUACCAAAUCAUUCUCUACAUGGUAUAAAAUAGCAUCACGGUCCUCUCCUAACAACCGCUUCCGCCUACCCUAGCCGCCGCCAUUUGCUACCACCGCCCCACGCCGCCGCCGCUACCCUCUCCCCGGGCCGCGCCUCCCCUCCCAGGCGCGCCCUCCCCCCUGCCGCGCCGCCUCCCCCGCCGCGCCGCACCUCCUGCCACGCCGCACCCUCACCCAACCCCAACCGCCGCUUCUCCCUCUCAUCACCGCGCCGUCGCCAUGUUGACCAACGCCUCCACCUACUCCAACCCCUUCGCCGGGCCGGACCCCGCUGACAUCCACGACAUCAACAUCCACGAACGCGUCCCUAUCGUUCUCGAUGCCACCGACUCCACGUACUUCGCGUGGAAGACGUACUUUUCACUACUCUUCCACGAGAAUAAUCUCAUGGAUCAUGUUGACGGCACCGUCGAAUCCCGCGCCAUGGUGGGCGACUCCGAGUGGACCGCGAUCGACGCCAUGCUCAUCUGGUGGUUCUUCACCACCAUCUCGAAGGACCUGUUUCAUAUGGUCAUGAGCGAUGGUGAUGACUAAAGGAAAUAUUCCCUAGAGGCAACAACAAAGUUGUUAUUUAUAUUUCCUUAUAUCAUGAUAAAUGUUUAUUAUUCAUGCUAGAAUUGUAUUAAUCGGAAACUUGAUACAUGUGUGAAUAUAUAGACAAAACAAAGUGUCCCUAGUACGCCAUUACUUGACUAGCUCGUUAAUCAAAGAUGGUUAAGUUUCCUGACCAUAGACAUGUGUUGUCAUUUGAUGAAUGAGAUCACAUCAUUAGGAGAAUGAUGUGAUGGACAAGACCCAUCCGUUAGCUUAGCAUAAUGAUCGUUAAGUUUUAUUGCUAUUGCUUUCUUCAUGACUUAUACAUAUUCCUUUGACUAUGAAAUUAUGCAACUCUUGAAUACCGGAGGAACACCUUGUGUGCUAUCAAACGUCACAACGUAACUAGGAGAUCAUAAAGAUGCUCUACAGGUGUCUCCGAAGGUGUUUGUUGGGUUGGCAUAGAUCAAGAUUAGGAUUUGUCACUCCAAGUAUCGGAGAGGUAUCUCUGGGCCCUCUCGGUAAUGCACAUCACUAUAAGCCUUGCAAGCAAUGUGACUAAUGAGUUAGUUAUGAGAUGAUGCAUUACGGAACGAGUAAAGAGACUUGCCGGUAACGAGAUUGAACUAGGUAUGAGGAUACCGACGAUCGAAUCUCGAGCAAGUAACAUACCAAUGACAAAGGGAAUGACGUAUGUUGUUAUUGCGGUUUGACCGAUAAAGUUCUUCGUGGAAUAUGUAGGAACCAAUAUGAGCAUCCAGGUUCCGUUGUUGGUUAUUGAUCGAAGAUAUGUCUCGAUCAUGUCUACAUAGUUCUCGAACCUAUAGGGUCCGCACGCUUAACGUUCGAUGACGAUUUGUAUUAUGAGUUAUGUGUUUUGGUGACCGAAGGUUGUUCGGAGUCCCGGAUGAGAUCACGGACAUGACGAGGACUCUCGAAAUAGUCUAAAGGUAAAGAUUGAUAUAUUGGACGAUAGUAUGUGGACACCGGAAUGGUUUUGGGACAUUUCAGAUAUUUAUCGAAGCACCGAGGGGUUACCGGAACCCCCGGGGAAAGUAAUGGGCCUACAUGGGCCAUAGGGGAGAGGGGAGGCAGCCCACAAGGGGUGGCCGCGCCCCCUCCCCAUAGGGAGUCCGAAUUGGACUAGGGGAGGGGGCGUGCCCCCCUUUCCUUCUCCUCUUCUCUCUCCCUUUCCUCUUUCCCCUCCAUGAGAAGGAAAAGGGGGGGAUCCUACUAGGACUGGAGUCCUAGUAGGACUCCCCUCUCCUUGGCGCACCCCUGGUGGCCGGCCUCCUCCUCUCCUCCUUUAUAUAUGAGGGAAGGGGCACCCCAAAGCACAACAGUUAUUCUCUUAGCCGUGUGCGGUGCCCCCUCCAAAAUUUACUCCUCCGGUCAUAGUGUCGUAGUGCUUAGGCGAAGCCCUGCGCGGAUCACAUCACCACACCGUCGUGCUGACGAAACUCUCCCUCGACCCUCUGCUGGAUCAAGAGUUCGAGGGACGUCAUCGAGUGAACGUGUGCUCAACUCGGAGGUGCCGUACAUUCGGUACUUGAUCGGUUGGAUCAUGAAGACGUUCGACUGCAUCAACCACGUUAACCUAAUGCUUCCGCUCUCGGUCUACAAGGGUACGUGGACACACUCUCCCCCUCUCGUUGCUAUGCAUCUCCUAGAUAGAUCUUGCGUGAUCGUAGGAAUUUUUUGAAAUUGCAUUCUACGUUCCCCUAAAAUGACGCCCGCGCCGUGUGGGUCAAGCUCUACGGCCUCUUCACCAACAACAAGCUUCAGCGCCGCGUUUUUCUGCAGCAGGAAUUUUUUGACUGUCAUCAGGAUGACCAGUCCAUCGAUGACUACUAUCGCCGCCUGAAGACGUUGGCGGAUGAACUCCGUGACAUCAGCGCCAAGGUUGAUGACGACCUCCUCCUGAGCAUGCUCACCGCCGGCCUCAACGAGGACUUCGGCAACACCGCCUUCAACCUCACCUUGAUGCCGAAGCCCUCCUUCCCCAGGUUUGUGGCGUACUUGCAGUUGAAGGAGAGCCAUAUGAAGGGGUUCAAGAAGCGCGUGCAGCACCAUGCCCUCGCCGCUGGCACCUCCCAAUGCGCCGCGACAACAGCCACCGCCCCCAUGCCCCCGGGAUUUUUUCCCUCCCACCCACGCCCCGCCCCUCCCGCUGGCCCCCAGCAGUAGCCGCAGGGUGGCGGGCGGCACGGCAACCGCCGCGGGGGCGGCCGCAAGCAGCAACAACAGGCGCAACGGAGGGGGGGGGGGAAGGGGUGGGGGCUCGUCAACAGCAGCAGGCCACCCCACCAUGGACUUACGGCACCAAUCCGUGGACCGGUGUCGUUCACGUGUACAUAAUGCCGGUCCCUCGGUCUCCUACCCUGGGCAUCCUUGGGCCCCGUUUCGCGAGCCAGCAGGCGUUCUUCACCGCGCCCAACGCUGCCCCUACCUGGCUUCGCCGGCCAUGGGCGGCUACAGCACCGCCCCCGCGCCUGCCAACGGCGGGUUCUACCCGCCCCAUUUGCCGCCGCCGUGUGAUCUCGCGCUCCUCGCCACCCUGCAUUCGGUCCCGUCACUGAGUAACUAUGGUGGCGGCGGUGAUUGGUACAUGGACUCGGGCCCCACUGCUCACAUGACUGCUCAUCCCGGUAACCUCACGUCUUCCACUCCCAUUCAUACUCCUGCUCGCAUCACCGUUGGUAACGGUUCCUCUCUACCCAUUACACAUGUCAGUCAUAUGGCGUUUGAUAACCCACAAGUAUAGGGGAUCACAUCAGUUUUCGAUAAGUAAGAGUGUCGAACCCAACGAGGAGCUAAAGGCAGAACAAAUAUUCCCUCAAGUUCUAUUGACCACCGAUACAACUCUACGCAUGCUUGAUGUUCGCUUUACCUAGAACAAGCAUGAAACUAGAAGUACUUUGUAGGUGUUGUUGUAUAAGUUUGCAAGAUAAUAAAGAGCAAGUAAAUAAAAAGUAGGGGCUGUUUAGAUAAACACACAACUAAGUUAGUUUUAGUAGAGUGGUUUUUGUUACAAAAAAGUUAUUUGUCCCUAGGCAAUCGAUAACUAGACCGAUAAUCAUUAUUCCAAUUUUAUAUGAGGGAGAGGCAUAAGCUAACAUACUUCCUCUACUUGGAUCAUAUGCACUUAUGAUUGGAACUCUAGCAAGCAUCCGCAACUACUAAAGAUCAUUAAGGUAAAACCCAACCAUAGCAUUAAAGCAUCAAGUCCUCUUUAUCCCAUACGCAACAACCCCCUUACUCGGGUUUGUGUUUCAGUCACUCACGCAACCCACUAUAAGCGAAUCAUGAACGUAUAGCAACACCCUACAACGGGGAUCCCUCACGCUUGCGCGACACGGAGAGCAGCAUAGGAGAACACCAAUAAUAAAACAUGCAACUCAAACCAAUCUUGAUCAUCUAAUAGCCCAUAGGACAAAAUGGAUCUACUCAAACAUCAUAGGAUAGCCAUACAUCAUUGGGAAAUAAUAUAUAGCGUUGAGCACCAUGUUUAAGUAGAGAUUACAGCGGGUAAGAGGGAGGUUACACUGCUGCAUAGAGGGGGAAGAGUUGGUGAUGAUGGCGGUGAAGUUGUUGCUGAAGAUUGCGGUGAUGAUGACGGCCCCCGGCGGCACUCCGGCGCCACCGGAAGCGAGGGGGAGGGAGCCCCCUCCUUCUUAUUCUUCCUUGACCUCCUCCCUAGAUGGGAGAAGGGUUUCCCCUCUGGUCCUUGGUCUCCAUGGCAUGGGAGGGGCGAGAGCCCCUCCGAGAUUGGAUCUGUCUCUCUGUCUCUCUCUGUUUCUGCGUUCUCAGAUCCUACCCUUUCACCGUUUCUUAUAUUCUCGGAGAUCCGUAACUCUGAUUGGGCUGAAAUUUUAACACGAUCUCUAUCCGGAUAUUAGCUUUCUUGCAGCGAAAGAAGGGCAUCAACCGCCUUACAGGUGGCCACGAGGGUCAGGGGCGCGCCUGCCCCCUGCCUCGUGGCCCCCUCGGGCAUCUUCUCGCGUGGAUUUUUCUUCCCAAAAAUCAUAUAUAUUCCAAAAAAAUCUCCGUCAAUUUUUAUCCCGUUUGGACUCCGUUUGAUAUGGAUAUUCUGCGAAACAAAAAACAUGCAACAAACAGGAACUGGCACUGGGCACUGGAUCAAUAUGUUAGUCCAAAAAAUAGUAUAAAAAGUUGCCAAGAGUAUAUGAAAGUUGUAGAAUAUUGGCAUGGAACAAUCAAAAAUUAUAGAUACGAUGGAGACGUAUCAGCAUCCCCAAGCUUAAUUCCUGCUCGUCCUCGAGUAGGUAAAUGAUAAAAAAAGAUAAUUUUUGAUGUGGAAUGCUACCUAGCAUAAUCUUGAUCAUGUAAUCUAAUCAUGGCAUGAAUAUUAAGAAAUGAGUGAUUCAAAGCAAUAGUCUAUCAUUUGACAUAAAAACAAUAAUACUUCAAGCCCACUAAUAAAGCAAUCAUGUCUUUUCAAAAUAACAAGGCCAAAGAAAGUUAUCCCUACAAAAUCAUAUAGUCUGGCUAUGCUCCAUCUUCACCACAUAAAAUAUUCACAUCAUGCACAACCCUGAUGACAAGCCAAGCAAUUGUUUCAUACUUUUGACGUUCUCAAACCUUUUCAACUUUCACGCAAUACAUGAGCGUGAGCCAUGGACAUAGAACUAUAGGUGGAAUAGAAUGGUGGUUGUGGAGAAGACAAAAAAGAGAAGAUAGUCUCACAUCAACUGGGCGUAUCAACGGGCUAUGGAGAUGCCCAUCAAUAGAUAUCAAUGUGAGUGAGUAGGGAUUGCCAUGCACCGGAUGCACUAGAGCUAUAAGUAUAUGAAAGCUCAAACUGAAACUAAGUGGGUGUGAAUCCAACUUGCUUGCUCAUGAAGACCUAGGGCAUUUGGAGAAGCCCAUCGUUGGAAUAUACAAGCCAAGUUCUAUAAUGAAAAAUUCCCACUAGUAUAUGAAAGUGAUAACUCAAGAGACUCUCUAUAUGAAGAACAUGGUGCUACUUUGAAGCACAAGUGUGAUAAAAGGAUAGUAACAUUGCCCAUUCUCUCUUUUUCUCUCAUUUUUUUUGUUUUUUUCUUCUUUUUUUGGGCCUUCUCUUUUUUUGGCCUUUCUCUUUUUUUUUCGUCCGGAGUCUCAUCCCGACUUGUGGGGGAAUCAUAGUCUCCAUCAUCCUUUCCUCACUGUGGCAAUGCUCUAAUAAUGAUGAUCAUCACACUUUUAUUUACUUACAACUCAAUAUUACAACUCGAUACUAGAACAAAGAUAUGACUCUAUAUGAAUGCCUCUAGUGGUGUACCGGGAUGUGCAAUGAUCUAGCGUAGCAAUGACAUCAAAAUACAGACAAGCCAUGAAAACAUCAUGCUAGCUAUCUUACGAUCAUGCAAAGCAAUAUGACAAUGAAUGCUCAAGUCAUGUAUAUGAUGAUGAUGGAAGUUGCAUGGCAAUAUAUCUCGGAAUGGCUAUGGAAAUGCCAUGAUAGGUAGGUAUGGUGGCUAUUUUGAGGAAGGUAUAUGGUGGGUUUAUGGUACCAGCGAAAGUUGCGCGAUACUAGAGAGGCUAGCAAUGGUGGAAGGGUGAGAGUGCGUAUAAUCCAUGGACUCAACAUUAGUCAUAAAGAACUCACAUACUUAUUGCAAAAGUCUAUUAGCUAUCGAAACAAAGUACUAUGUGCAUGCUCCUAGGGGGAUAGAUUGGUAGGAAAAGAACAUCGCUCAUCCCCGACUUCCACUCAUAAGGAAGACAAUCAAUAAAUAAAUCAUGCUCCGACUUCGUUACAUAACAGUUCACCAUACGUGCAUGCUACAGGAAUCACAAACCUCAACACAAGUAUUUCUACAAUCCACAACUACCCACUAGCACGACUCUAAUAUCACCAUUUUUAUAGCGCAAAACUAUUACAAGGAAUCAAACAUAUCAUAUUCAGUUAUCUACAAGUUUUAUGUAGGAUUUUAUGACUAACCAUGUGAAUGACCAAUUCCUGUAAUCUCUCUAAAUAGAUAUAAGUGAAGCAAGAGAGUUUAAUUCUUUCUACAAAAUAUAUGCCCAUGCUCUAACAAAUAUAAGUGAAGCAAAAGAGCAUUCUACAAAUGGCGGGUUUCUAUGUAAAGAGAAACAUGCAAUCCAAACUUCAAAUGAUAUAAGUGAAGCACAUGAAGCAUUCUAUAAAGCCAUACUCAAAAGAUAUAAGUGAAGUGCAUAGAGCAUUCUAUAAAUCAACCAAGGACUAUCUCAUACCAGCAUGGUGCAUAAAAGAAAAAUGAAAACUAAAUGCAAAAGACGCUCCAAGACUGCACAUAUCGCAUGAACGAAACGAAUCCGAAAACAUACCGAUACUUGUUGAAGAAAGAGGGGAUGCCUUCCGGGGCAUCCCCAAGCUUAGACGCUUGAGUCUCCUUGAAUAUUUACUAGGGGUGCCUCGGGCAUCCCCAAGCUUGAGCUCUUGCCUCUCUUCCUUCUUCUCACAUCGAGACCUUCUCGAUCAUCGAACACUUCAUCCACACAAAACUUCAACAGAAAACUCGGUAAGAUCCGUUAGUAUAAUAAAGCAAAUCACUACUCUAAGUACUGUUGCAAACCAAUUCAUAUUUUGUUUUUGCAUUGUGUCUACUGUAAUAUAACUUUUUCAUGGCUUAAUCCACUAAUAUAAAUUGAUAGUUUCAUCAAAACAAGCAAAUUAUGCAUCAAAAACAGAAUCUGUCUAAAACAGAACAGUCUGUAGUAAUCUGAACAUUCACCAUACUUAUGAUACUUUAAAAAUUCUACAAAAAUUAGGAAAAAUAAACAAUUUGUAUAGAAAUACAGUGCAAAAAGAAACAGAACCAUUUGACGUUCCAGCUAAAAAAUUUAAAAUCGCGCACUACAGCCAAAGUUUCUGUCCUGCACCGUACAAACCAUCAAGCAAAUGUAAACAUCCUAAAGGCAAACCUUGGCACAUUAUUUUUAUAAUAAAAUGGAAUUGUACAAGAGGAUAAUUAUUUUUAUUGAAAAGUUUCUGUAAUCAAGAUUCACAAAGUUGCCAUGAGCAUGAACAAAGUUCAAGGAGCUCUCCCACUUCAACAAUGCUUGUCUCUCUCACUUUCACUUUCCUUUUUGAAAAAGUUUUGGGUUCCCCUCUUUAUUUUUGUUGUUUUUAAACUAUAUAAAAGCACUCAACAGAAAUAAAUGACUCUCUAAAACUUCCAGGUUGUCUCCCUGGCAGCGCUUUCUUUAAAGCCAUUAAGCUAGGCAUAUAAUGCUCAAGUAGUGAAUCCACCCGGAUCCCAAGGUAUAUCAAAGCCAAUUUUAAUUAAAAAUGAUUUGUAAUUUAGUAGUGAGCACAAAGUAACAUAUAUCAUGUAACAACGAAGUCUAACUCUCUUCCUAUGCAUCGGCAUGUCAUAAAAGAACAAUUCAUGCACACAUAGUAAAGGCCAAUGCAUAGUAUAAACAGUUUCUUGUAAUUUUAUCGUGUGGGAAACAUAGAGAGGUGGAGAUAUAGUUCCUCUCUCUCAUAAUAAUUGCAAGUAGGAGCAGGAAGCAUAUGCAUAUUAUAUCUAUCAAAAUCAUCAUGUGUAGUAGUGAAACGCAACCCAUCAAUAUAAUCCUUAAUAAGGGCAAACUUCUCUGAUAUAGUGUACUCGGGAGAAUUCAAAAAGAUAAUAGGACUAUCAUGCGUGGGUGCAAUAGCAACAAUUUCAUGUUUAACAUAAGGAACUAUAGCAAGUUCAUCUCCAUAGGCAUAAUUCAUAUUGGCAUCUUGGCCACAAGCAUAGCAAGCAUCAUAAAAAAGGGAUAUUCCAAGAGAAUCAACGGGAUCAUAAUAGUCAUCAUAGCAAUCAUCCUUCGGUAAGUACGAAGGGAAAUUAAACAAUGUAUGAGUUGAAGAUUUACUCUCAUUAGAAGGUGGGCACGGGUAGCUAAUCCGCUCUUCCUCCUUUUGUUCUUUGUUCUCCUCAUCAUCUUUUUCAUCUAAUGAGAUCAUAGUUUCAUCAAUUUCUUCUUCCAUAGACUCCUGCAAAAUAUUAGUCUAUUCUCGGAUAGCGGAGUAGUCCUUAAUAUAUGGUUCAACAUAGGCAUUAGAAGCAUAAUUAUCAUAGCAAUAUUUAAGUAUGGCAAAAAUUUUAGAUUUGUAAAGAGUAGCAUCGUACUUUUCAAUCAAAGAAGCAAUUUCAUAAGCACCCUUAAAAGCAACAAAUUCUUCAAUUUGUUGAACAUCAUAGUAACUAUAAACACCUUUAGCAUACAAAGAUACGAUUCCAUUAUCACUAAACUCACAUUGAUAGGGAAGGUGUUUCUUAGGGUUUUCAGAACAACAAGUAAAAUCAUAUAUUUCACAUAAAUUCCAAGCAUAGCAUUGCAAAGGAUGAAUUUGACCCAGUAAAAGUUUCCCCUUUUCAAAUAUACGGUGUCUCACAUAACAAGCAUGCUCAUCUAAGGAUUUGCCCUCAACUAAGCUAGUUGGGGUUUCAUCACGAGCACAUAGGGAUCGAAGAUGAUCCAAGUAAUAAGCUUCAGGAGUGUGAUAGAUUUUGAGUGGUUCUUCAACCAUUGGUUCAGUAGGUACAACUAAAGUUUUUGGUAUUUUGUGUUUCCUACCCAUAACUAAAGAUAGAAAACAACUAAGAACAGCAAAUAAAAAUUACUUAGUGAUAAAGGAAACAAGCACACACGAGAAUAUUCACGCCACGCUAUUGCUCCCGGCAACGGCGCCAGAAAAAGGUCUUGAUAACCCACAAGUAUAGGGGAUCGCAACAGUUUUCGAUAAGUAAGAGUGUCGAACCCAACGAGGAGCUAAAGGCAGAACAAAUAUUCCCUCAAGUUCUAUUGACCACCGAUACAACUCUACGCACGCUUGAUGUUCGCUUUUCCUAGAACAAGUAUGAAACUAGAAGUACUUUGUAGGUGUUGUUGUAUAAGUUUGCAAGAUAAUAAAGAGCAAGUAAAUAAAAAGUAGGGGUUGUUUAGAUAAAGACACAACUAAGUUAUUUUUAAUAAAGUGGUUUUUGUUACGAGAAAGUUAUUUGUCCCUAGGCAAUCGAUAACUAGACUGGUAAUCAUUAUUGCAAUUUUAUAUGAGGGAGAGGCAUAAGCUAACAUACUUUCUCUACUUGGAUCAUAUGAACUUAUGAUUGGAACUCUAGCAAGCAUCCACAACUACUAAAGAUCAUUAAGGUAAAACCCAACCAUAGAAUUAAAGCAUCAAGUCCUCUUUAUCCCAUACGCAACAACCCCCUUACUCGGGUUUGUGUUUCAGUCACUCACACAACCCACUAUAAGCGAAUCAUGAACGUAUUACAACACCCUACAACGGGGACCCCUCACGCUUGUGCGACACGGAGAGCACCAUAGGACAGCACCAAUAAUAAAACAUGCAACUCAAACCAAUCUUGAUCAUCAAAUAGCCCAUAGGACAAAAUGGAUCUACAGGAAAAUCAUAGGAUAGACAUACAUCAUUGGGAAAUAAUAUAUAGCGUUGAGCACCAUGUUUAAGUAGAGAUUACAGCGGGUAAGAGAGAGGUUACACCGCUGCAUAGAGGGGGGAAGAGUUGGUGAUGAUGGCGCUGAAGUUGUUGGUGAAGAUUGCGGUGAUGAUGAUGGCCCCCGGUGGCACUCCGGCGCCACCGGAAGCGAGGGGGAGAGAGCCCCCUCCUUCUUAGUCUUCCUUGACCUCCACCCUAGAUGAGAGAAGGGUUUCCCCUCUGGUCCUUGGUCUCCAUGGCAUGGGAGGGGCGAGAGCCCUCCGAGAUUGGGUAUGUCUCUCUGUCUCUCUCUGUUUCUGCGUUCUCAGAUUCUACCCUUUCACCGUUUCUUAUAUUCCCGGAGAUCCGUAACUCUGAUUGGGCUGAAAUUUUAACACGAUCUCUAUCCGGAUAUUAGCUUUCUUGUGGCGAAAGAAGGGCAUCAACCGCCUUACGGUGUGGCCACGAGGUUUAGGGGCGCGCCCUCCUACCUCGUGGCUCCCUCGGGUAUCAUCUUGCGUGGAUUUUUCUUCCCAAAAAUCAUAUAUAUAUUCCAAAAAAAAUCUCCGUCAAUUUUUAUCCCGUUUGGACUCCGUUUGAUAUGGAUAUUCUGCGAAACAAAAAACAUGCAAUAAACAGGAACUGGCACUGGGCACUGGAUCAAUAUGUUAGUCCCAAAAAUAGUAUAAAAAGUUGCCAAGAGUAUAUGAAAGUUGUAGAAUUGACAUGGAACAAUCAAAAAUUAUAGAUACGACGGAGACGUAUCAGCGUUUCCUUCCACCUCUACACCUAUUAACAUGUCUAAUGUUUUGGUCUCUCCUGACUUAGUUACCAACCUUGUCUCUGUUUGUCGCCUUGCUCGUGAGAACCCUAUUAUUGUUGAAUUUGACGAUGUUGGCUUUUUUGUGAAGGAUGCCCGUACAUGGAUGGUACUCCACCAAUGUGAUAGCCCGGAUGAGCUCUACCCGGUGCAUCCUUCCGCCGACACCACCACCCAUCCCGCUGCCCUUGCCGAUAGUGUUGAUCUCUGGCACGUCCGCCUCGGUCAUCCCAACUCCACAGUUUUAUGUCAGAUUCUUCAGAGUUUUUCAUUCUCAUGUAAUAAGGUUGACGACCACUCUUGUGAGGCUUGCCGUCUCGGCAAGCAUGUUCGUCUUCCCUUUAGCGAGUCUACAAACAUUUCCACUUUUCCGUUUUAGUUAUUGCAUAGUGAUCUUUGGACGUCCCCAGUUGCAAGCAACACGGGUUAUCUAUACUAUUUGGUGAUAUUGGAUGAUUUGUCCCAUUAUGUGUGGACAUUUCCUCUCCGUCGCAAGUCCGAUGCUUUUGCCACACUCACCGGUUUUUAUUCAUAUAUCACCACAUAGUUUGGUCAUCAUAUUCUUGCGUUGCAAACUGACAACGGAAAAUAGUUUGACAAUGUUGCCGUCCGCAAUCUCCUUGCGUCGCAUGGCACUAUUUUUCGGCUCACUUGCCCCUACACGUCACAGCAGAAUGGCCGCGCCGAGCGCGCCAUCCGCACUCUUAAUGACUGUGUCUGCACAUUGCUCUUCCACUCCAACGUGCCUCCUUGGUUCUGGCCAGACGCUCUCGCGACCGCCAGCCUUCUCAUUAACAUCCACCCAUGUCGUCCUCGUUGGAACUAUUCUCCUCAGCAGCUCCUCUUCGGUGUGGCUACAUCCUAUGAUGGUCUUCGCAUUCUCGGGUCUCUCUCUUAUACUAGCACCGCGUCCACCGCCCUUCACAAAGUCGCUCCCCGGUCGGUUCCUUGUAUCUUCCUCGGUUAUCCUCCCAACACCAAAGGAUACCGGUGCUAUGAUCCAGUGUUCCACCACGUCUUCACUUCGUGGCAUGUGUACUUUGAUGAGCUGGUGUUCCCAUUUCAGCAGGUACUAUCGGCGUCUCCUGCGGCAUGGCUCACCCCGGCCACCACCUAUGGCGAGUCGCCCCCUACGCCAGCCGAGCACUAGGCCCGGCCCUGCCCGCGCUUCCGGCGCCGGCCGCCCCCUCCCAUGGCACCCCGACUGCCGCGACCUCUUCGGUCGCCCCGCCGCCACGGCCCCAUCGGGCGCCCCCGACGCCGCGGCCCCUUCGGCCGCCCCCGUCGCCGUGGCCUCUGGCGCCGCCGCGGGUGGCCCCUCGAAGCCUUAGGAGACCGGCUCGACUUCCUCCUCGCUAGCCCCCCUCGCAGCUUCGCCGGCUGCAGCCGCACCUCUCAUCGGUGUGGUUACUCGGGCUCGGACUGGGACGUUUCGUCCCAGCACGCGCUACACCUCCGACGAGCACACAUGUGCCGCAUCUACCUUGGCCCCGUCCCCACUCCCCACCUCCGCCGGCGCAGCCCUUCGGGAUCCGAACUGGCUUGCUGUUAUGCUUGAGGAGUUUGACGCCCUGUAGCGUGAUACAUCUCCAACGUAUCUAUAAUUUUUGAUUGCUCCAUGCUAUAUUAUCUAAUGUUUUGGACUAUAUUGGGCUUUAUUUUCCACUUUUAUAUUAUUUUUGGGACUAACCUAUUAACCGGAGGCCCAUCCCAGAAUGGCUGUUUUUUCUGCCUAUUUCAGUGUUUCGGAUAAACAGAAUAUCAAACGGAGUCCAAACGGAAUAAAAUCUUCGGAAACGUGAUUUUCUCACCGAACAUGAUCCAGGAGACUUGGACCCUACUACAAGGGAUGAGCCCCUGCCUCAUGGGCCCCUCGGUGCUCCAUCGACGUACUCCUUCCUCCUAUAUAUACACACGUACCCCCAAACGAUCAGAACAGGAGCCAAAAACCUAAUUCCACCGCCGCAGCUUUCUGUAUGCACGAGAUCCCAUCUUGGGGCCUGUUCUGGAGCUCCGCCGGAAGAGGGUCAUCAUCAUGGAGGGCUUCUACAUCAUCCUAGCCCCUCCGAUGAAGUGUGAGUAGUUUACCUCAGACCUUCGGGUCCGUAGUUAGUAGCUAGAUGGCUUCUUCUCUCUCUUUGAAUCUCAAUACAAAGUUCUCCCCCUCUCUUGUGGAGAUCUAUUCGAUGUAAUCUUCUUUUUGCGGUGUGUUUGUUGAGAUCGAUGAAUUGUGGGUUUAUGAUCAAGUCUAUCUAUGAAUAAUAGUUGAAUCUUCUUUGAAUUCUUUUAUGCAUGAUUGGUUAUCUUUGCAAGUCUCUUCGAAUUAUCCGUUUGGUUUGGCCAACUAGAUUGGUAGUUCUUGCCAUGGGAGAAGUGCUUAGCUUUGGGUUCGAUCUUGCGGUGUCCUUACCCAGUGACAGAAGGGGAAGCAAGGCACGUAUUUAUCGUUGCCAUCAAGGAUAACAAGAUGGGGUUUAUUUCAUAUUGCAUGAAUUUAUCUCUCUACAUCAUGUCAUCUUGCUUAAGGCGUUACUCUGUUUUUAACUUAAUACUCUAGAUGCAUGCUGGAUAGCGGUCGAUGAGUGGAGUAAUAGUAGUAGAUGCAGAAUCGUUUUGGUCUACUUGUCAUGGACGUGAUUCCUAUAUACAUGAUCAUGCCUAGAUAUUCUCAUAAUUAUGCUCAAUUCUAUCAAUUGCUCAACAGUAAUUUGUUCACCCACCAUAGAAUACUUAUGCUCUUGAGAGAAGCCACUAGUGAAACCUAUGGCCCCCGGGUAUAUUCUCAUCAUAUCAAUCUCCAUUACUUUUAUAGUGUUUUGCUAUUUACUUUGGCUUUACAUUUUACUUUGCAUCUUUAUAUCAAAAAUACCAAAAAUAUUCUAUCUAUCAGAUCUCACUCUCGUAAGUGACCGUGAAGGGCUUGGCAACCCCUAAUCGCGUUGGUUGCGAGUAGCUAUCGCUUUGUGCAGGUACGAGGGACUUCAGCAUGGGCUCCUACUGGAUUGAUACCUUGGUUUUAAAAACUGAGGGAAAUAGUUACGCUACUCUGCUGCAUCAUCCCUUCCUCUUCGGGGAAAACCAACGCAAGCUCAAGACGUAGCAAGAAGGAUUUUUGGCGCUGUUGCCGGGGAGUCUACGCAAAAAUUCAAUAUACCAAGUACCCAUCACAAUCCCUAUCUCUCGCAUUACAUUAUUUUCCAUUUGCCUCUCGUUUUCCUCUCCCCCCAAUUCACCCUUGCAGUUUUAUUCGCCCUCUCUCUCCUCCCUCUCUGUUUGCCUCUUUUGUCCGCUUGCUUUUUGUUUGCUCGUGUGUUAGAUUGCUUGUUUGUCGCGAUGGCUCAAGAUACUACCAAAUUGUGUGACUUCACCAAUACCAAUAAUAAUGAUUUCCUUAGCACUUCGAUUGCUCCUCUUACCGAUGCUAAAUCUUGUGAAAUUAAUACUGCUUUGUUGAAUCUUGUUAUGAAAGAUCAAUUCACCGGCCUUCCUAGUGAAGAUGCCGUUACUCAUCUGAAUAGCUUCGUUGAUUUAUGUGAUAUGCAAAAGAAAAAAGAUGUCAAUAAUGAUGUCGUUAAAUUGAAGCUAUUUCCUUUUCGCUUAGAGAUCGUGCUAAAGUUUGGUUUUCGUCUUUGCCUAAGAAUAGUAUUGAUUCAUGGAACAAAUGCAAAGAUGCUUUUAUCUCUAUGUAUUUUCCUCCCGCUAAGAUCAUCUCUCUUAGAAACGAUAUAAUGAACUUUAAACAACUUGAUCAUGAACAUGUUGCACAAGCUUGGGAGAGAAUGAAAUUAAUGAUACGUAAUUGCCCUACUCAUGGUUUGAAUUUGUGGAUGAUUAUACAAAUUUUUUAUGCCGGAUUGAAUUUUGCUUCUAGAAAUCUUUUAGAUUCGGCUGCAGGAGGCACUUUUAUGGAAAUCACUUUAGGAGAUGCUACUAAACUCCUAGAUAAUAUUAUGGUUAAUUAUUCUCAAUGGCAUACUGAAAGAACUUCUAAUAAAAAAGUGCAUGCGAUAGAAGAAAUUAAUGUGUUGAGUGAAAAGAUGGAUGAACUUAUGAAAUUAUUUGAUACUAAGAGUGUUUCUUCUGAUCCUAAUGAUAUGCCUUUGUCUACUUUGAUUGAGAAUAAUAAUGAAUCUAUGGAUGUGAAUUUUGUUGGUAGGAAUAAUUUUGGUAACAACGCUUAUAGAGGGUAUUUUAAUCCUAGGCCAUAUCCUAGUAAUCCUUCUAAUAAUUAUGGGAAUUCCUACAACAACUCUUAUGGAAAUUAUAAUAAGAUGCCCUCUGAUUUUGAAUCUAAUAUUAAAGAAUUUAUUUCUUCGCAAAAGAAUUUUAAUGCUAUGAUUGAAGAAAAAUUGCUUAAGAUUGAUGAUUUGGCUAGGAACGUUGAUAGAAUUGCUCUUGAUGUUGAUGCUUUGAAACUUAGAUCUAUUCCACCUAAGCAUGAUAUUAAUGAGUCUCUAAAAGCCAUGCGAAUUUCAAUUGAUGAGUGUAAAGAAAGAACGCUAGGAUGCGUGCUUCCAAAGAUGCCUUUAUUAAAGCGUGUUCUUCCAAUUCCUAUGAAAAUCAAGAUGAAGAUCUAAAAGUUAUUGAUGUGUCUCCAAUUAAAUCUUUAUUUUUCAAUAUGAAUCUUGAUUAAACUGAAUAUGAUCUUCCUUUACCUAGAAGGCGUUCUAAAAAUUCGGAGUGUUUAGAUCUUAAUGAUGAAAUUGAUGAAAGUGGGAUUGAAAGAAAUAAAAAUCUAGAUGUUGCUAAACCCACUAUAUUGGAUUUCAAGGAAUUUAAUUAUGAAAAUUUCUCUUUGAUUUAUUGUAUUUCCUUGUUGCAAUCCGUGCUAAAUUCUCCACAUGCUUAUAGUCGAAAUAAAGCCUUCACCGAACAUAUUGUUGAUGCCUUGAUGCAAUCUUAUGAAGAAAGACUUGAGUUGAAAGUUUCUAUCCCUAGAAAACUCUAUGAUGAGUGGGAACCAACUAUUAAAAUUAAAAUUAAAGAUCAUAAGUUUUAUGCUUUGUGUGAUUUGGGUGCUAGUGUCUCUACUAUUCCCAAGACUUUGUGUGAUUUACUAGAUUUCCGUAAUUUUGAUGAUUGCUCUCUAAACUUGCAUCUUGCGGAUUCCACUAUUAAGAAACCUAUGGGAAGAAUUAAUGAUGUUCUUAUUUUUUCAAAUAGGAAUUAUGUUCCCGUAGAUUUCAUUGUUCUUUAUAUAGAUUGCAAUCCUUCUUGCCCUAUUAUUCUUGGUAGACCUUUCCUUAGAACGGUUGGUGCGAUUAUUGAUAUGAAGGAAGGGAAUAUUAGAUUUCAAUUUCCAUUAAAAAAGGCCAUGGAACACUUUCCAAGAAAGAAAAUAAAAUUACCAUAUGAAACUACCAUGAGAGCCACUUAUGGAUUGCCUACCAAAGAUGGCAACACCUAGAUCUAUUCUUGCUCGUUAUGCCUAGCUAGGGGCGUUAAACGAUAGCGCUUGUUGGGAGGCAACCCAAUUUUAUUUUUAUUCCUUGCUUUUUGCUCCUGUUUAGUAAUAAAUAAAUUGGUUAGCCUCUGUUUUGGUUGUGUUUUUUGUGUUUAAUUAGUGUUUGUGCCAAGUAGAACCGUUGGGAAGACUUGGGGAAAGUCUUGUUGAACUUGCUGUAAAAAAUAGAAACUUUAGCGCUCACGAGAACUGCUGUCAUUUUUAUUUGGAGAGUGAUAUUUAGUUAAUUCUUUUUUAAUAUGAUUAACAGAUAAAUUCCCCACGUCCAGAAAUUUAUUUUAGAAUUUUUGGGGUUACGGAUCUUGCGCUAGCCACAGAUUACUACAGACUGUUCUGUUUUUGACAGAUUCUGCUUUUCGUGUGUUGUUUGCUUAUUUUGAUGAAUCUAUGGCUAGUAAAAUAGUUUAUAAUCCAUAGAGAAGCUGCAAUACAGUAGGUUUAACACCAAUAUAAAUAAAGAAUGAGUUCAUUACAGUACCUUGAAGUGGUCUUUUGUUUUCUUUCGCUAACGGAGCUCACGAGUUUUCUAUUUUGAGUUUUGUGUUGUGAAGUUUUCAAGUUUUGGGUGAAUUCUUUUGAUGGAUCAUGGAACAAGGAGUGGCAAGAGCGUAAGCAUGGCAUCCCCAAGAUAAUCCAAGGAUACCAAAAAUUCAAAGCUUGGGGAUGCCCCAGAAGGUAUCCCCUCUUUCGUCCACUUCCAUCGGUAAUUUACUUGGAGCUAUAUUUUUAUUCACCAACAUGAUAUGUGUUUUGCUUGUAGCGUCUUGUAUUAUUUGUGUCUUUGUUUGUAGUAUGACACAAUCAUCCUUUCUUUACACACCUUUUGAGAGAUCCAUACAUGAAUUAAAAUUUGAUAGAAUACUCUAUGUGCUUCACUUAUAUCUUUCGAGCUAGAUAAUUUUGCUCUAUGUGCUUCACUUAGAUCUUUUAGAGCACGGUGGUGGAUUCGUUUUAAAGAAACUAUUGAUCUCUCAUGCUUCACUUAAAUUAAUUUGAGAGUCUCUUAAUAGCAUGGUAAUUUGUCUAAUAAUAAUAUGCUUGGUAUUCAAGAUUUGUGAAACUUUCUUUUGAGUGUGUUGAAUACUAAGAAAAGAUUGAAGCAUGAUAAUUGUUUUGAGAUAUGGAGGUGAUAAUAUUAAAGUCAUGCUAGUUGAGUAGUUGUGAAUUUAAAGAAUACUUGUGUUGAAGUUUGUGAUUCCCGUAGCAUGCACGUAUGGUGAACCGUUAUGUGAUGAAGUCGGAGCAUGAUUUAUUUAUUGACUGUCUUCCUUAUGAGUGGCGGUCGGGGACAAGCGAUGGUCUUUUCCUACCAAUCUACCCCCUAGGAGCAUGCGCGUAAUACUUUUCUUUGAUAACUUCUAAAUUUUUGCAAUAAGUAUAUGAGUUCUUUAUGACUAAUGUCGAGUCCAUGGAUUAUAUGCUCUCUCACCCUUCCACCUUUGCUAGCCUCUCUCAUACCACGCAACUUUCGCCGGUAUCAUACACCUACCAUAUACCUUCCUCAAAAUAGCCACCAUACCUACCUAUUAUGGCAUUUCCAUAGCCAUUCCGAGAUAUAUUGCCAUGCAACUUUCCACCAUCUAGUUCAUCAUGACACAUCCAUCAUUGUCAUAUUGCUUAGCAUGAUCAUGUAGUUGACAUAGUAUUUGUGGCAAAGCCACUGUUCAUAAUUCUUUCAUACUUGUCACUCAUGAUUCAUUGCAUAUCCCGGUACACCGCCGGAGGCAUUCAUAUGGAGUCAUACUUUGUUUUAGUAUCGAGUUGUAAUCAUUGAGUUGUAAAUAAAUAGAAGUGUGAUGAUCAUCAUUCAAUAGAGCAUUAUCCCAAAAAAAGAGAAAGGCCAAAGAAAAAAAGAAGGCCAAAAUAAAUAAAUAAAUAAAAAGGGGCAAUGCUACUAUCUUUUUUUUCCACACUUGUGCUUCAAAGUAGAACCAUGAUAUAGCUAGCCUCAUAUAUUGUGCUUCAAAGUAGCACCAUGUUAUUCAUAUAGAGAGAGUCAUAUGUUGUCACUUUCAUAUACUAGUGGGAAUUUUACGUUAUAGAACUUGGCUUGUAUAUUCCAAUGAUGGGCUUCCUCAAAUUGCCCUAGGUCUUCGUGAGCAAGCAAGUUGGAUGCACACCCACUAGUUUCUUUUGUUGAGCUUUCAUACAUUUAUAGCUCUAGUGCAUCCGUUGCAUGGCAAUCCCUACUCACUCACAUUGAUAUCUAUUGAUGGGCAUCACAAUAGCCCGUUGAUACGCCUAGUCGAUGUGAGACUAUCUUCUCCUUUUUGUCUUCUCCACAACCACCAUUCUAUUCCACCUAUAGUGCUAUAUCCAUAGCUCACGCUCAUGUAUUGCGUGAAGAUUGAAAAAGUUUUGAAAAAGUUAGAGUAUGAAACAAUUGCUUGGCUUGUCAUCGGGGUUGUGCAUGAUUUAAAUACUUUGUGUGGGGAAGAUGGAGCAUAGCCAGACUAUAUGAUUUUGUAGGGAUAACUUCCUUUGGCCAUGUUAUUUUGAGAAGACAUAAUUGCCUUGUUAGUAUGCUUGAAGUAUUAUUAUUUUCUAUGUCAAUAUAAAAUUUUCUCUUGAAUAUUUCUAAUCUGAAUAUUCAUACCACAAUUAAGAAGAUUUGCAUUGAAAUUAUGCCAGGUAGCACUCCGCAUAAAAAAUUCUCUUUUUUAUCAUUUACCUACUCGAGGACGAGCAGGAAUUAAGCUUGGGGAUGCCUGAUACGUCUCCAACGUAUCUAUAAUUUUUGAUUGCUCCAUGCUAUAUUAUCUAAUGUUUUGGACUAUAUUGGGCUUUAUUUUCCACUUUUAUAUUAUUUUUGGGACUAACCUACUAACCGGAGGCCCAGCCCAGAAUUGCUGUCUUUUGCCUAUUUCAGUGUUUCGGAUAAACAGAAUAUCAAACGGAGUCCAAACGGAAUAAAAUCUUCGGAAACGUGAUUUUAUCACCGAACGUGAUCCAAGAGACUUGGACCCUACUGCAAGGGAUCAAAGAGGUGGUCAUGAGGGUGGGGGGCGCGCCCCCCUACCUCGUGGGCCCCUCGGUGCUCCACCGAUGUACUCCUUCCUCCUAUAUAUACACACGUACCCCCAAACGAUUAGAACAGGAGCCAAAAACCUAAUUCCACUGCCGUAACUUUCUGUAUCCACGAGAUCCCAUCUUGGGGCCUGUUCCGGAGCUCCGCCGAAAGAGGGCCGUCAUCACGGAGGGCUUCUACAUCAUCCUAGCCCCUCCGAUGAAGUGUGAGUAGUUUACCUCAGACCUUCGGUCCAUAGUUAGUUGCUAGAUGGCUUCUUCUCUCUCUUUGAAUCUCAAUACAAAGUUCUCCCCCUCUCUUGUGGAGAUCUAUUCGAUGUAAUCUUCUUUUUGCGGUGUCUUUGUUGAGAUCGAUGAAUUGUGGGUUUAUGAUCAAGUCUAUCUAUGAAUAAUAUUUGAAUCUUCUCUGAAUUCUUUUAUGCAUGAUUGGUUAUCUUUGCAAGUCUCUUCGAAUUAUCCGUUUGGUUUGGCCAACUAGAUUGGUAGUUCUUGACAUGGGAGAAGUGCUUAGCUUUGGGUUCGAUCUUGCAGUGUCUUUACCCAGUGACAGAAGGGGCAACAAGGCACGUAUUGUAUCGUUGCCAUCGAGGAUAACAAGAUGGGGUUUAUUUCAUAUUGCAUGAAUUUAUCUCUCUACAUCAUGUCAUCUUGCUUAAGGCGUUACUCUGUUUUUAACUUAAUACUCUAGAUGCAUGCUGGAUAGCGGUCGAUGAGUGGAGUAAUAGUAGUAGAUGCAGAAUCGUUUUGGUCUACUUGUCACGGACGUGAUGCCUAUAUACAUGAUCAUGCCUAGAUAUUCUCAUAAUUAUGCUCAAUUCUAUCAAUUGCUCAACAGUAAUUUGUUCACCCACCGUAGAAUACUUAUGCUCUUGAGAGAAGCCACUAGUGAAACCUAUGGACCCCGGGUCUAUUCUCAUCAUAUCAAUCUCCAUUACUUUUAUAUUGUUUUGCUAUUUACUUUGCCUUUACUUUUUACUUUGCAUCUUUAUAUCAAAAAUACCAAAAAUAUUCUAUCUAUCAGAUCUCACUCUCGUAAGUGACCGUGAAGGGCUUGACAUCCCCUAAUCGCGUUGGUUGCGAGUAGCUAUUGCUUUGUGCAGGUACGAGGGACUUGAGCGUGGGCUCCUACUGGAUUGAUACCUUGGUUGUCAAAAACCGAGGGAAAUACUUAUGGUACUCUGCUGCAUCAUCCCUUCCUCUUCGGGGAAAACCAACACAAGCUCAAGAUGUAGCAUAGCGCAACCGCACAUGGCAGCUUGUCCCGUGGCCUCCCCGUGCCAAUGUUAUCAUUGGCAAGUGGGUCUUCCGCCACAAGACUCGCCCUGACGGUUCUCUUGAGCGCUACAAGGCGCGUUGGGUCAUGCACGGCUUCCGCCAGCACGCCGGCGUGGACUUCACCGACACCUUCGCCCUGGCUGUCAAAUCGGGCAUGAUUCGCGCUGUUCUCCAGCUUGCUGUCUCUCGCGCCUGGCCAGUUCACCAGCUCGAUGUGUCCAAUGCUUUCUUGCAUGGCCAUCUCGACGAGCAGGUGUUUUGUCAGAAACCUACUUGUUUCAUCGACACCGACUAUCCGGACCACGUGUGCUUGCUCUCCCGUUCUCUCUACGGGUUGAAGCAGGUGCCUCGGGCCUGGUACCAGCGGAUCGCGGCCUUCCUUCAGCAGCAGGGGUUCCGUUCCACAUGUUCCGAUGCCUCCCUGUUUGUUUAUCACCAGGCUGCUGCCACCGCGUACCUUCUCCUGUACAUCAACGACAUCAUCCUGACUGCGUCCCCGCCAGCACUACUUCAGCUAAUCACAGCUCGCUUCGGCACCGAGUUCACCCUCAAGGACUUGGGGCUCUCCACUACUUCCUCGGCAUCGAGGUUGUCCCCCGUGCCACUGGCUUCUUCCUGCAUUAGCAGAAGUAUGACUACGAGCUUCUGGAGCGAGCCGACAUGCUUAACUGCAAGCCUGCUCCCACGCCUGUUGAUACAAAGGCUAAGGUGUCCGCCAUCGAGGGAUCUUCGGCGUCCGACGCUCCCUUCUACCACUCCAUCACCGAUGCUCUUUAGUACCUCACACUGACGCAUCCGGAUAUUCAGUAUGCUGUCUAGCAGGUGUGCCUUCACAUGCAUGCUCCUUGUGACACUCAUUGGACUCUGGUGAAACGUAUUCUCCGGUAUAUACAUGGCACCACCGCUAUGGGUCUCACCCUGAUGGCAUCACCUGACACCAGCCUCGUCGCCUACUCCGACGCCUAAUACAUCCACUUUGCAUGAUGUUUUCUUACUGUUGUUUACAAUGUUUUUAUCCAUAAUAAUGCCUUUUGGAGUAAUUCUAAUGCCCUUUCUCUCAUAAUUUGCAAGGUACACACCAAGAGGGAGAAUUCUGGUAGCUAGAAAUCUGGACCUGGAAAAGCUACGCCAGGCCACCUAUUCCGCACAACUCCAAACAAGCUGAAACUUCACGGAGAUUUUUAUGGAUUAUUUCAGAAUUAUUGAAGCAAAUAACUACCAGAGGGGCCCCACCAGGUGGGCACAACCCACCCGGGCAUGCCAGGGAGCCUAGGCGUGCCCUCCUCGGCCCACCUCCGGUGCCCAUCUUUUGGUAUAUAAGUCAUUUUGACCUAGAAAAAAAAUAAGGGGAGGACUUUCGGGAUGAAGCGCCACCGCCUCGAGGCAGAACUUGGGCAGGAGCACUUUUGUCCUCCGACGGAGCGAUUCCGUCGGGGGAACUUCCCUCCCGGAGGGGGAAAUCAUCGUCAUCAUCAUCACCAACAACUCUCCCAUCUCGGGGAGGGCAAUCUCCGUCAACAUCUUCAACAACACCAUCUCCUCUCAAACCCUAGUUCAUCUCUUGUGUUCAAUCUUGUUACCAGAACUAGAGAUUGGUACUUGUGGGUGACUGAUAUGUCUCCGUCGUAUCUAUAAUUUUUGAUUGUUCCAUGCCAAUAUUCUACAACUUUCAUAUACUUUUGGCAACUUUUUAUACUAUUUUUGGGACUAACAUAUUGAUCCAGUGCCUAAUGCCAGUUCCUGUUUGUUGCAUGUUUUUUGUUUCGCAGUAAAUCCAUAUCAAACGGAGUCCAAAUGGGAUAAAACCGACGGAGAUUUUUUUGGAAUAUAUGUGAUUUUUGGGAAGAAAAAUCAACGCGAGACGAUUCCCGAGGGGGCCACGAGGCAGGGGGGUGCGCCCCAGGGGGGCAGGCGCCCCUGGGCCCUUGUGGCCACCCUGUAAGGCAGUUGAUGCCCUUCUUUCUCCACAAGAAAGCUAAUAUCCGGAUAGAGACCGUGUUAAAAUUUCAGCCCAAUCGGAGUUACGGAUCUCUGGGAAUAUAAGAAAUAGUGAACAGGCAGAAUAGGAGAACGCAGAAACAGAGAGAGACAGAGAGAUAGAUCCAAUCUCGGAGGGGCUCUCGCCCCUCCGCCGCCAUGGAGGCUGUUGGUGUCAAAACCGACAGAUCUUGGGUAGGGGGUCCCGAACUGUGCAUCUAAGGCGGAUGGUAACAGGAGGCAGGGGACACGAUGUUUUACCCAGGUUCGGGCCCUCUUGAUGGAGGUAAUACCCUACGUCCUGCUUGAUUUAUUCUUGAUGAUAUAAGUAUUACAAGAGUUGAUCUACCACGAGAUCGGAGAGGCUAAACCCUAGAAGCUAGCCUAUGGUAUGAUUGUAUGUUGUCCUACGGUCUAAAACCCUCCGGUUUAUAUAGACACCGGAGGGGCUAGGGUUACACAAGAUCGAUUACAAAGGAGGAGAUAUCCAUAUCCGUAUUGCCUAGCUUGCCUUCCAUGCCAAGGAGAGUCCCAUCCGGACAUGAGACGAAGUCUUCAAUCUUGUAUCUUCAUAGUCCAAUAGUCCGGCCAAAGGAUAUAGUCCGACAGUCUGGAGAUCCCCUAAUCCAGGACUCCCUCAGUAGCCCCUGAACCAGGCUUCAAUGACGAUGAGUCCGACGCGCAGUGUUAUCUUCGGCAUUGCAAGGUGAGUUCCUCCUCCGAACACAUCACAAAAGAGUUUAAAUACCAGGAUAGUGUCCGGCCCUGCAAAAUAAAUUCCACAUAUCUCCGCAGAGACAAUAAUAUUACCACAAAUCUAAUCUGCUGACACGUUUUGGCAACAUGACUUUAAGCCAUGGCCUGAUGAUUAUUCGAACCAUUUCCUUUAACUAGCCCCGCACAUAACGCAAGGCAGUUUUUUGACAUGUCUUGUCAAAGUAGAGAUCGUGUCCCCCUUAUUACGGGAUUCUCAUCAAUACGGGCGUGGGUAACCCAACCGCGCCAUCGAUUACGGCGCUUGGGGGAUAAGCGAGUUUUACCAGGCUAGUGGGGCCGCAUAGUUUCGGCCGCCCUUAUAAAGGGAUAAAGUUUAACCUUUUUCUACCCACGCCUUCUUCCUCCUUGCCUAUCCGUUCUUAUGCACUCGAGCUCCAACGCCCAAGUCCACAUCCUUCCCCUCAACCUUCUCCAAACAUGUCCGGAGCGGGGGGCAAAUGGAAGGCUUCCUCCGUUACGGAGGGGCACAUCAAAAAGCUGCGCGACGCCGGAUACUUAGCCGCGAAUAUCGCGCAUCGGCUGCCCGCUGCGGGGCAGAUCAUUCGUACCCCGGAACCUCAUGAGAGGGUAGUCUUCCUCCACCACCUCCUCCGUGGACUGGGGUUUCCCCUUCAUCCAUUCGUUCGUGGUCUCAUGUUCUACUACGGGCUGUACUUUCAUGAUCUGGCCCCGAACUUCAUCCUCAACAUUUCGGCGUUCAUCGUCGUCUGUGAGGCUUUCCUCCGUGUCCGGCCCCACUUCGGCCUGUGGGUGAAGACCUUUAACAUCAAGCCGAAGGUGGUGGGAGGCCAACAAGCAGAAUGCGGUGGAGCCAUGGUGGGCAAGAUGCCCAACGUUAUAUGGCUUGAAGGCUCCUUCGUGGAGACCAUAAAGGGGUGGCAAUCGGCGUGGUUCUACAUCACCGAGCCGCGCGACACCAAAUGGGUGGCUGCCCCCAAGUUUCGAUCCGGAUUCCCUACACGGCUCACUUCCUGGAAAGAGAAGGGCUUGUCGUGGGGUUCAUGGUGGAGCUGGAUGGACUCCAGAAAUGUAUCCGGAGUAUGGCAAGCAAGAAGCUCAAGCUUGUCAACAUAGUCCAGGUCAUGCUCAUCCGCCGGAUCCUCCCGUGUCAACAACGGGAUUUUAACUUGUGGGAGUUUGACCCGGCCCAUCACCAGACUCUGAGCGAGCUCUUCGACACGACGCACAAGGACGUCUGGAAGGUGCUGUUCAAGGGUGCCAAGGUCCCUCCCGCUCUCACCGAGGACUGCGGGCUAAGCGCGAAGCGCCGAGCGCAUUCGGUGAGCUCUAUACAUCUGGUAGGAUAUUUAUUUCCCCUAGCUUAACCAUGUGCGGGGUCUGAUCUCCCUGCCUUUGACAGGACUGGGUGGAGACAUCGGGGCAGAUUAACUAUCUGGCCCCUCUGCUCGAAGACACUGCGGAAGCUCUCCUGACGGAGAUGCUGACUCCGGCUCCUUACAAGGUGCCGGAGAAGACUAAGAAGGCCAAGGGAACCCGAAAGAGCUACCGGCGCCAGGUGUUAUCGGGCUCAUCGUCCGAUAACUCCGUGACGCACUCCUCCCCCGAAGACGAGGAGGAGGAUGAAGAUGUUCCCCCUCCAGUCGGGGAAGACAAGAAAAGGAAGGCCGCCCCUAUUGGGGGGGCCGAAGGGUCCAAGAAGGGAAGGACUCUCCUUCCGGACUACUCCACCACGGCCGAAGGCGAAGACGAGUGGCUGCUUAGGGCCAAGCCCCUGGCGAAGUCGUAAGUAUUCGGAUACCAGAGUAACUCAUAACAUUCCUUUGUCGCACUGCUUCUCCUAAUGCCGAAUUAUGAUUGUGCAGACCGCACCGAACCCGUAUCGACGUAUCCUCGCCGGACGGCUCCCUGGGCUCGUCGGAUAUGGAUAGCGAUCCACUUCCGACCGCCACCUCCCCUUGCCCUACGGAAAAUGCCGAGGUGUUGUCUCAAGAGGCACUGGGUCAAGGGGAGACAGUCCCGGAGGCACCUCAAAGCGACCUUCCGGACUCCGGGAGCAGGGGGAGUAAAGCCCCCGAGGGCUCCAAGUUCGGCCCUCAGCCGAACACCGCGCCGAAACCUCCAGUGGUUCCGGACUCGGGCAGGCGGCCUCCUUCCAAGAGGGGCAAGACGCCUGUGUCGGUGACCUCCGCCCAUCCACAGGCACCGGACAAUCUGCUGGGAGCGCUUCGCAGCGCUUCCAUUGACGAAGAGCACCGCACUAUCAUGAGUGCGGUGGUCCAGAAGGUUCAGUCCGCCAAGAGCGGACUGACCGAAGCCUGUGCCAGCCUUCUAACAGGCUUUGAGGUAAGUUUUUGAAAUAUAGGAGAAAUAUUACCACAUAGACAGUAGCCGCUGAUGCUCUGUUCGGUGUUCACAAAGAAAAGCCGAACAGAGGAUCAAACAAUAUCGCAGGAGUCUAAUAUUAGUAUGUCUAUAUGCGUAUGCAGGCUUCGCUGCUAGCCUCUGCCACACUGACUGCGGAGGUCGUCGCACUGAAGGAGGACCUUAAAGGGUCCAAGGACGAGCUCGGCCUUGCCAAGAGGCAGCUCGAGGAGAACAAAGGUAAGUAGUACCUAGUCUAUGAAUAUGUAUAAAAAGAAUGCGAUUGCAAAAUGAUAGGAUCAUCGUAAAUUUGCCAGGGGCCACGACCGAGGUGGCGACCCUGAAGCAAGCGCUAUCCGAGGCCGAAAACAAAGCGGCCAAGGAGAGCACCAAGCGGGAAAGGCAUGAGGCACGGGUGGAUGAGGUGCGGCAAGAGCUCCACGCUCUCGUGACGAAGCACGAGGCGUUGAAGCUUGACUUGAAGAUGCGAGAGUCUGAGCUUGCCCCAGCCGUCGAGAGUGCAAAGAGUGCCAAGGACGAAGCCCAAAAGGCCCUCCAGGAGAUUGAUGCGAUGAAGAAGAUAGCGGCGGGUAAGGCAUUCUAUAUGCAAAGCAAGCAUGUGAAAGUAAAUUACCUGUUACUUACCCGAAUCUGGAGCUCUCUAGGAGCAUUCGCAGAUUUGCCCCGCAGCGUGUUGGAUGCCGCAACGUUUUACCAGGCCAAGGAGGGAAGCUCAAUGGAGAAGUUGUUCUGGGCCCAAUAUACUGGGACCGAACACCUGGUGCCUAUGAGCGACCAGCUAAAGCAGCUGGUCGAGCUACACAAGGCGGCCGAACAAGCCAUGAAGGGCUUCAUAGUCCGGCUGUGGCCUGGCGACGCCCUUCCGAACAGCUACUUCGGCCUGUCGAGGCGGCUUGUGGAUGCCUGCCCACGGCUGGAAGUCGUCAAGCGGUCCGUCUGCAUUGAAGGUGCAUGCCGGGCUUUCGCCCGUGUGAAGGUGCAAUGGGCCAAGCUAGACGUCGUGAAGCUGAUCAAGGAAGGGCCACCGGAGGGCAAGGAGCAUCGCCACCCCGAGAUGUACUAUGAGGGUGUCCUGAAGGGUGCCCGUCUCAUAGCGGACGAGUGUACGAAAGAUAUAAUAUUUGAGCGAACUCGCUGGUGUAAUCCUGUAUUCAUGAAAACUUGUUCAUAUGCGCUAUGCAACACUUGUUUGAAUUAAAAAUAUUACCUUAUGUUCGGCUGAUUAUCAAAUCUGAGAGAUGGCUAGUCGUCGGCUUCUGCCCCCAUGCCACGAGUGCUGGGGUGUUCGGGAUAAACCUGAGCACUCUUGUUCCCAUUUUUGGGUCCUUCGAGGGAGGUGCUCAGCACAAUGAACAAGGCAAUCAGACUAUAAUGCGUUAUCACUCUCACUUAGCCAUAGAAUUCUAUAAUUUUAAAUUUCAGCGAAGCCCCUAGUAUUCGGAAGGCCGAAUCUGGGGCGCGAUACACGCCUUAAGCCGGACAGGGCCGACUCCUCGCUCUAAGCGGCAUAAGUCUUUAAGGACUCGAAAACCUCUCGAACAGCGACUAGUCUCUCGCCUUAUCAUGACAGUCAGUUUUAGCUUUCUCUACUGAGGUGCUUAGCUCGGCAGAACCGGGGCACAAUCGCAGUAGUUCUCCCAGUGCUACCUUAGCCGAUAUAGCAGAACCUAAGGUACCAAAACAUGGGAGCCGGGCAAACCCAACUAUUGACCCAAGACAUGAUUCAGAGCUGAUGCAGAUAAUGCUAUAAGUUCGGGGUGCCGCACCGUUGAAAGUGUCAGGACUUCUCACGCCGUAUUGUGGGGUAUGCUUAAGCCCUUAGCGUAUUAGCCAUACCAGAGUGUACGGGUGCUGGAUGUCAUGAAUGAACGUAAUAAAAAAAGAAGAAUGCAAUAAUAGUCUUAAUGCUAUGCAUUGUUUAUUCAAAAAGGUGCGUUAAAGCAGAAUGAUACACGCAGUGCAAUAAGCAAAAAGUAGGACUAUGUCCCCUCCAAGGGCAAGCUAAGGAAUAAUAUUAAAGCAAGUAUUUCACUCGUUAUCGUAAUCCACAUGGGAGUUCCGUGGUGUGAUGUAGCUUUCUGCCUCCUUGGUUGCUGCAUCAUGUGUUCGGCAAUCAUGCUGCCGGACAGGGUUUCCAGAGAUUAAUGUCCUGAAAGAGAGAAAAAUAACAAAGCGGGAAGCCCCUAGUGCGGUUUAAGCCAUGUCUUGGGGCGUGCCGUAGUCAUGCCCCCUCCCCGCCUGUGCCCAUGGUAUUUUUAAUGCGUAAUUAUGUACGCGUGGCACGGAUUUUGCCGUUUGGCUGGGACCGGGGUGGGGGCCAUAUUGCUAUGCGAGCUCGGAACAUGCCAGGCGGUCCUGUUGCCGAUUACUCCGGGCGCGCUUGAAGGUGUCCGGGUCCUUAAACGCCGAACUAGUGAAUUUCCUUAAGAGGCUGCUUUGCGCUUCCACUGUGAGGGCCGCAGUGUGCUCCUCCAUUCGGAGAGAGCGCUCUGUGUUUCCAUUAACUGUAAUGACCCCCCGAGGUCCUGGCAUCUUGAGCUUGAGGUAUGCAUAAUGCGGUACCGCAUUGAAUCUCGCAAAUGCGGUUCGCCCGAGCAGUGCAUGAUAACCACUGCGAAAUGGGACUAUAUCGAAGAUUAACUCUUCGCUUUGGAAGUUAUCCGGGGAUCCGAAGACCACUACCAGUGUGACUGAGCCUGUGCAAUGGGCCUCUACACCUGGUAUGACGCCUUUAAAGGUCGUUUUUGUGGGUUUGAUCCUUGAGGGGUCUAUACCCAUUUUGCGCACUGUGUCCUGGUAAAGCAGGUUCAGGCUGCUGCCGCCAUCCAUAAGGACUCGAGUGAGGUGAAAUCCAUCAAUGAUUGGGUCUAGGACCAGUGCGGCGAAUCCGCCAUUACGGAUACUAGUGGGGUGGUCCCUGCGAUCGAAGGUGAUCGGACAGGAGGACCAUGUGUUGAACUUUGGGGCGACUGGCUCCAACGCAUAUACGUCCCUGAGCGCACGCUUCCGCUCCCUGUUGGGGAUGUGGGUUGCGUAUAUCAUGUUCACCGUCCGCACUUGUGGGGGGAACCUCUUCUAUCCUCCAGUGUUCGGCUGUCGGGGCUCUUCCUCAUCAUCUCUAUGUGGCCCCUUAUCUUUGUUUUCGGCAAUUAACUUGCUGGCCUGCUUGAACACCCAAGAAUCCCUGUUGGUGUGGUUGGCUGGCUUGUCGGGGGUGCCGUGUAUUUGACACGAGCGAUCGAGUAUACGGUCCAAACUGGACGGGCCCGGAGUGCUUCUUUUGAAUGACUUUUUCCGCUGACCGGGUUUAGAGCCUUUGAAUCCGGCAUUGACUGCCGUAUCCUCGGUAUUGUUGCUGUUAAUGCGGCGCUUAUGUUUUUGUGACAUGACCUGCUAUUGCCGUCCUUGGUAUCCGAAGUACCAUGGUUCUUUGAUAUGUUAUUACUGCGAGCCAGCCAACUGUCUUCUCCCGCACAAAAGCGGGUCAUGAGUGUGGUAAGGGCUGCCAUAGAUUUCGGCUUUUCCUGACCAAGGUGCCGGGCUAGCCACUCGUCGCGAAUGUUGUGUUUAAAAGCUGCUAGGGCCUCUGCAUCCGGACAGUCAAUGAUUUGAUUUUUCUUUGUAAGGAACCCUGUCCAGAAUUGCCUGGCCGAUUCCUCUGGCUGCUGAAUUAUGUGGCUCAAGCCAUCGACAUCUGGUGGUCGCACAUAAGUGCCCUGAAAGUUGUCAAGGAAUGCGGCUUCCAGAUCUUCCCAACAACCAAUGGACUCUGCUGGCAAGUUGUUGAGCCAAUGCCGAGCUGGUCCUUUGAGUUUGAGUGGGAGGUAUUUGAUUGCGUGUAGGUCAUCACCGCGGGCCAUGUGGAUGUGCAGGAGGAAAUCCUCAAUCCAUACCGCAGGAUCUGUCGUGCCGUCGUAUGAUUCUAUGUUUACGGGUUUGAAACCCUCUGGGAUUUGAUGAUCCAUUACUUCAUCUGUGAAGCAUAAGGGGUGUGCGGCACCUCUGUACUGGGCUAUAUCGUGACGCAGCUCCAAUGAGUCUUGCCCGCUGUGUUCGGCCCGACCGGAUUUACUUUUACGGUAUCCGGCGUGAUGUUUAUCGUCUCGCAUAGUGGCGCGCCCUCGUGAUCCGUAGAUCGAUCUUGCAUGUUUUGCUUUGUCGUAAAAUAUGUCUCGCAGGUCUGGCAUAUUUCCCCAUGCCUUUUUAUUUGAAUGGCGUCGGGGUGCAGGCUGAGCUUUUGGCUAGAAUGCCUCUCUAUCGCGGCCACGAGGUGACCGAUCAGCCAUGUCAUACGCUUCUUCCUCCAGUCGAGGUAGCAACCUGCACUUUGGGUAACUCUUGGAGGGGCGUUCGAGUUUAUAUUCCUCAGCCGCGAGGACUUCAGUCCAUCAGAUCUUGAUCAGCUUGAAGCUGCUGCUACUUUUUCUUAAGGCUAUUUGCCGUGGCUAUAAGCCGGCGCUUGAAGCGCUCUUGUUCGACGGGAUCCUCUGGCACGACGAAUUCAUCAUCGUCGAGGCUUGCUUUUUCUUCGGAGGGGGGCAUGUAAUUAUCAUCCUCCGCCUCUCCAUCUGCCGCUCUCUCUGGAGGGCUGGCCUCUCCAUCUUUCUGUCCUAGAUCAUGCUAGAGGGGAUUGUUGCCAUCUUCGGCACUAUCCAGAGUGUUAUUAUCUCCUGUGCUGGUAUCACCACUUUUGCUUUGGUGGGACUUAGAGCGGCGCUACUGACGUCGGCGCUUGGGUUGCUUCUUGGAGGGGUCAUCCUCCGCUGUCUCGUCGCCAUUGCCUUCUUUGGGUGUGUCACCAUGUAUAUAUCGUAUGAUGAGGUGGCUGUCCAGUGCCCUGUGGGCAGUGGUUCCUCUUCGUCUACCGCAUCGUCGUCCAUACCGUCGAUGUCUUCGGAGUCGAAGUCGAGCAUGUCGGUUAGGUCGUCGACAGUGGCUACUAAGUGGGUGGUGGGUGGGCAGCGAAUUUCUUCGUCAUCCGCAUCCCAAUCCUGCCGGACAUGGUUCGGCCAGGAUCCUCCUGACAAGGAGAGAGACCUUAAUGAGUUCAGUAUGCCGCCGAAGGGAGAGUGCUGAAAAAUAUCCGUGGAGGUAAACUCCAUGAUCGGCGCCCAAUCGGAUUCGAUAGGAACGGGCGCAGGAGGUUCGGAGUCUGUGGCCGGAGAAGGAUGUGGCAGUUUAGCAACACGGCUCUCGUGAAGGGUAAGGUCGAUGUUCGGCUCGAUCGCCGCUGAGGUUAAGGCCUCCGUGGCGGGGUCCAUCCACCCGUCCAUGGACGGCGCAACUGGCUCCGAAUAGAGGGUCGGAGCGGCUGCCGGUGCGAUCUCCUGAACACUGUCUGAUGGUAGAGCUAAAUGUACUCAUCGUGACCGCGUGACGCACAAGGCAGAGGCUCGAAUCUGUAACAUCCCAAAUUUUCAAUUUGGAAUGUUAUACAUUAGAUCAUCAUGCAUAUCAUAUUUUAUUUGCUUUGGGUUUUGAUCCUAGAAAAUUCUAAGCAACUCAAGGACCCACGGAGAGAGUUGGAGAUUUCGUUAUUUUCAUAUUUGAGUUUUUCUCAAAUUUUGAGAAUAGGAUCAUUCGAUUUUAUUUAUUUUAUCAUCAAUUAUUUCUAUUACAAAAAUAUGAGAGAGGGAAUAAAAUGACUUUCCCAAAAUAUAAAAAUAUUGAUGAUUUAAUAAAAAAAUAAAAUAGUUUUAUUUCGGAGUUUUUUUUGUUGUUUUUAUUUGAAUUAGGAAAAAUGCGCAUUUUUCAAAAUUGCAUUUAGGGCCCAAAUAAAUGUUCACUUUGUCGGGCUUGAUUUUAGAAGCCCGGUAAAAUUUACUUCGGGAUUUUUGGAGUCCGUUUAGUAUUUCUUUUUAUUUUCUUUCUUCCGAGCGAAAAAAAACGGAAUCGACUAUGGGCCGUACUCGGCCAGGACUCUGCCUGUCCGGGGCCUUUAUAAGCCGGGGCAAGCCAGCCCGAAGGCCCAGCCGCCCUGAAACCCUAGCCGCCAGCCCCCGCCGCCCCGCCGCCGCCGGCGAUCCGCCGGAGCCGCGCGUUGCCCGAUGUUUGCUGCACCUCAAAAUCCGUGCCAUUUAAAAAAAAUUCCGUUUGUCAUUUUUCUUUUUCGUCGGAUUUUUCCGCGGUUAUUUUCUGACCGCGAUUUCUGAUCCAAUUUUCGUUUUAGUUUAACUUUUCGCUCGUUUAUCGGAAUCAGGCGAUUCAAGCGCCUGGAGUUUCGUCUCGAAACCCUCUAUCAGAAUAAUCAACUUAAACAAGUUUUUGCUACUGUAAAAUUUGACUUAGGUUCAGAUUACUAGAACGAAGUUGUUUUCUUUCGCCGUUUGACUUUCUUUGCUUCGUUCGAUUCGAUUCCUUUUGCCAACCGGAGUUCUUAAGUUGAACCUUCUGGUUAGAUCUCUUAUUUGAGUUUUACCUGUGCAUUAGAUGAGUACUUAUUGUAUGCUUUUUGUUUGCCUGCGAUAGAGUGCCCGGAGUUCGCCGCCUGUUACUUCGAAUCGUUAGGUUUCACGGAUCAUCAGCAAGGCAAGUAACACUUUGAUCAUACCUUUUCUACAACCCAGUUUUUUUGCAUUAGAUCAGUCUUCACACAUUGCAUGAUUAAGAUCUAAUUAAACUGUGGGAUGGGAAGUAAAUGAGGUAGUACCUAUUACCUGUUUAUUAUCAAACCUUUAGGAGUUACUUCUACGUUGCUUAUUAUGCCAUGCUAUGCUAGUAGACGUGGAUUGGGUGAGUGAAGUCCAUGACAGAUGUGAGAUUGAUAAUUAAUGGUUUAUCUAAGGUGGCAACUGAAAUACACAUCUGGGUGGAUUGAGGCACCUGGAUAUUCCAGGACCUGCCUGUUUUCUUUUGGACCGCCACCCAGGCUCAAAGGGAUCAUGAGAUUUUUUCAAACUAGAAACUUCCGUGUGCAGCCACAAGCCAUUAUGGGCUCUGGCAUAGUUGAUUAAGUCGUGCGAACUCUUACAGGGUAGACUAGCAGAUGUAGGGGAAAGUAGGUGUACCGGUCUAUCCAUCGUAAGGUGCUAGCGCUUCUGAAAGACUGUGUCUCGGUCAUCCGUUUCUCAAACACCAUGUAGUGCGAGAAAUCCAACGGAGGCGAUCGAGUCUUGUGGGGAAAAGUGCGCAAACCUCUACAGAGUGUAACAAACUAAUCAUGAUUAGCCGUGUCCCCGGUUAUGGACAUCUUGAGUAUCUAGUAUCUGGAUUAUCAUGUGAAUCUCAACAUGUUACUCUAAAAUUAAUGUUGUUGGGUUAAUGAUGAUGCUUAAUUGGGAUUGAGAAUGCUGUCAACCAUUCUCAAUGUUUAACAACCACCAUGAUAGUAAUUAAAUUUAUUCCUUUUGAAGUAGGGAAAAAUUGGCUUUAUGCAAAACUGUAACCAUAGAGCUUUCCACCAGCCAAAUAUGCAUAUAGUAUAGAUGUUGCAUUCCAUUACUCUCUAUGUGUUACCUUGCCAGCAUAUUCCAUGUGCUGACCCGUUUUCGGGCUGCAACGUUAAUGUUGCAGACUUUUUAAACGACGAUUAAGGAGUUUUUAGGUUGUGGUUCUAUACUCAGUGAUGCCGUUGGAGUUGAUGGACUCACUUAUCUUCCAAGCCUUCCGCUAUUAUCGUAAUUAGAUGGCCUUAAGCCAUAUUUAUUGUAGUAAGUUCUCUUUUGAGACACUCGAUGUAAUAAGUGUGUGAUUGCUACUCUGCUAUAAAUCCUCCGAGUACUGUGUGGUGUCAGCAUUACUGAUCCAGGAAUGACACCGGAGCACAGAGAUCAGACUGUUUGAGGUCUGGUCGCUACAGAGAUGGUAUCAGAGCACACGCUGACUGUAGGACACGACCACUAAGCUAAAGACCUAGAUCACUACUCACUCUCUUCUCUUCUGACCUCUCAUCUUUUCUACUCUUUAGGAUGGCGGAUGCAAGGAACAAGUUCACCUAACCAGAUGAAGAUACACCCUUUGGAUGCCACUUGAAGGAAGUCACUAGAUACCUGAACAUAGGAGUACCAAGCUUCACAGGAACCUACAAUGCCACUUUACCUGAAGAAGAGCGCUGGAUGAUUCAAGUUAAAAUCCCAGGAAGGACGUUCAUGCCAGUCAUUGAGCCCAUAGAGUUUUCUUUUAAUGCACCAACUUGGAGUCUAGGAAAGAGCAUGGCAGCUCACAUCGCCAUGGGACGCAUUGGAGAAGUCUACCGCAAGGAUCUUAAGGAUACUAUAUACCAGAUUCGUGGGCGCCGAGAUGAACACUGGGAGAUGAUCAACACCAGGAAAUAUAGAUCAAUUGCAGCUUUUAUCCAAGAGUUAAACCAGCACAUUCGACGACAGAAGAAUCAGAUGUGCGCCGACAUGAUAGACCUAAAGAAGGCUAAGACUAGAAUCAAGGAACUGGAGGAAGAACUCAAGGCUACACACAAAGAUUAUGAAGAAGAAAUUGAAGUAUUGGUGGAGAAGAAUGACGACCUGAUCAAGAAGAUUGGAAUAUUUAUGGGAGGCCCGACACCAGUAGAUGAAGACGAAGAACCCAAGGAGAUUAGCCCGGAAGACUACAUCAUCAUUGACGGCACCGACUCGGAACAAGAUAGUAGCAAUGAUGAUUAUGUUGAUGAAGCAGGAGCAGAUAUCAUGGAGUCUACAACCGUAGAAUAUUUCUAGUAUACCACCUCAUCAGUAGUAGUAGUCCACCAUGUAAAUAUAGUAGUCCGAGCACUUUGCGAUAGUUAGAUUGAUUGUAUGCCUUUAUUUGUUUGAAUGAAGUGAAUUGUUUGCUUUUGCCUCAUGUGCAUAUGGGUAGUGUUUUCUCUUUAGACCCCCUCUAUUCUUAUAUCUCAUCUUUUCUAAACCUCAGAUGCCUCCGAGACAUGACCCCGGAUUUGCCUUUCCGCCGGAGCUCACCCAGUUGAUCCAGCAGCAGAACACCUUGAUGCAGUUGCUAGUCUAGAAUCAGAAUCAGGGGAACAACAACAACAACCCACCACCACCACCACCUGUUGACCACUUAGCCCGCUUUCUUAGGCUGAAUCCGCCGGUGUUUUCCAGUAGCACCGAGCCGAUAAUAGCAGAUGAUUGGCUCCGCAAGACAGCUAGGGAGUUGACCACAACAGGAUGCACAGAUGCGGAGAAGGUGAAGUUUGCCGCACAUCAGUUAGAAGGACCCGCAGCAUCAUGGUGGGAGAAUUUCACAGCCACCUUUCCAGUCGACACUGUCACAUGGGAUCAAUUUCAGCAGGCUUUCUGUACUGCCCAUGUUUCAGCAGGAGCUAUGGCCAUGAAGAAGCGUGAGUUUCAUAACUUGCGCCAAGGAGGACGGACAGUUGGCCAGUAUGUGGAGGAGUUUAGUAAGCUAGCACGUUAUGCCCCAGACGAUGUUGCUAUGGAUGCAGCUAAGCAGGAGAAGUUCCUGGAAGGACUGAAUGAUGAGUUGAGUAUGCAGUUGAUGGUAGCCACCUUCAACAACUACCAGGAGUUGGUAGACCGUGCUCUUAUGAUUGAAGGGAAGCAGCAGCAAAUUGAGAACCGCAAGAGGAAGUAUGGACAAGGAAAGUAUAAUUCAGGAGCUCAGCAGAAGCCACGUUUUACCCCUAGACCGGGAGGACAUUUUCAGCAUACCCAUGGAGUAGGUAGCUCGCACAAUCACAAUGGCACCAAGAAUGGUAAUGGGAAUGGAGGAAGCAAUGGCUAGAACCGCAGCACCCCAUCAACCCCAGCCAAGAGAGAUCUGAGUCAAGUCACCUGUUUCAAGUGUUCCAAGGCCGGACAUUAUGCCAAUGAAUGUCCUGAAGGCCAAAACGGCAAUGGAAGUUCUGGGAAGAAGCCGAACCCUUUCAACAGGGGACAGGUGAACCACAUUAAUGUGGAGGAGGUUGAAGCUCAGCCCGAUGCAGUAAUAGGUAAGUUUUUGGUUAUGUCAUUUACUGCACUCGUUCUUUUUGAUACUGGUGCAUCGCAUUCAUACAUAUCAAGGGGAUUUGUGGAGAAGUAUAGCCUACCCACUAGGGUUCUCAAAACACCUAUGCUAGUAAGCUCACCAGGAGCAAAGUACAUGGCCAGUCAAGGAUGUUUUCAAGUGCCAUUAAGUAUAGGACGACAUGUUUUCCCAACAGAUUUAAUUAUUCUGGAAUCUCAAGGUCUGGAUGUGAUUCUUGGUAUGGAUUGGCUGUCGAUGUAUGGAGGAAACAUCAAUUGUGCUAGUAAGUCAGUUUUGCUUACCACCCCAGAAGGGAGAAGGAUCAAGUAUGUAUCCCGGCAUGCGCCAAACAAGAACACAAGUAAAUUCAUUAACAGGAGUUGUGCAGGAGGAAGUACCAGUGGUAAGGGAAUUCCCUGAUGUAUUUCCAGAGGAGUUGCCAGGCAUGCCACCGGAUAGAGAUAUUGAGUUCUUGAUUGAGCUAUUGCCAGGCACAGGGCCAAUAUCAAAGAGACCAUAUAGGAUGCCAGCAAAGGAUUUGGUGGAAAUUAAGAAACAGAUUAAGGAGUUACUGGAUAAAGGUUACAUUCGCCCAAGUUCUUCACCUUGGGGAUCACCAGUACUAUUAGUAGAGAAGAAGGAUGGAUCGUUAAGGAUGGUUGUUGAUUAUCGAGGAUUGAAUGAAGUAACAAUCAAGAACAAGUACCCGCUACCAAUGAUUAAUGAUCUGUUUGAUUGAUUGCAAGGAGCUAAAGUGUUUUCCAAGAUCAAUUUGCGAUCAGGGUACCACCAGUUGAAGAUUCGAGAACAGGAUAUUCCGAAGACAGCUUUUACCACCAGGUAUGGGCUGUAUGAGUAUACCGUUAUGUCAUUUGGUCUGACUAACGCGCCUGCCUAUUUUAUGAACAUGAUGAACAAAGUGUUUAUGGAGUUUUUGGAUAAGUUCAUCAUAGUGUUCAUUGAUGAUAUCCUGGUUUAUUCAAAGAAUGAAGAGGAACAUAAGGAGCAUUUGCGUUUGGUACUUGGAAAGCUCAGAGAACAUCAAUUAUAUGCCAAGUUCAGCAAAUGUGAGUUUUGGUUGAAGGAAGUAGGAUUCCUCGGACACGUUAUAUCUGGAGAAGGUAUAGCUGUUGAUCCCACUAAACUUGAUACCGUGACCAAGUGGGAAGCCCCAACUACCGUUGGAGAGAUCCGGAGUUUUCUUGGACUCGCAGGAUACUACCGGAGGUUUAUUGAAUUUUUUUCAAAGAUUUCGAAGCCUAUGACGGAGUUGUUGAAGAAAGAUACCAAGUUCAAAUGGACUGAGCAGUGUGAGGCUAGUUUCCAGGAGUUGAAGAAACGCUUGGUUACCUCACCAGUGUUGAUUUUGCCAGAUCAGACCAAGGAUUAUGAGGUGUAUUGCGACGCUUCACGUCGAGGACUUGGAGCAGUGCUUAUGCAGGAAGGGAGAGUUGUUUCAUAUGCCUCAAGACAACUGAAGCCCCAUGAGUUGAAUUACGCUACGCAUGAUUCGGAGUUAGCAUCCGUAGUGCAUGCCUUGGAGACAUGGAGACAUUUCCUCAUCGGAAAUCAUUGUGAGGUGUACACCGAUCAUAAGAGUUUGAAGUACAUUUUCACACAGAAGUAGUUGAACCUCAGACAAAGGAGAUGGUUGGAGCUCAAGGAUUAUGAUAUGAGAUUGCAUUAUCAUCCCGGGAAGGCUAAUGUAGUAGCUGAUGCAUUAAGCCGCAAGAGCCAUGUCAAUACGUUAAUGACGGGAGAAAUACCCAAGGAGUUAGCAGAAAAUCUUCGUGAACUAUGUUUGGAAAUAGUUCCGAGAGGCUAUGUAGUAGCGUUGGAAAUUCAGUCAACUUUGAUGGACAGAAUCAGGGAAGCUCAGAAGACUGACAAGGAGAUUGCUUCCAUAAAGGAGAAAAUGAAAGAAGGAAAAGCUAAAGGAUUUCGUGAGGAUGAGCACGAUACCCUAUGGUUUGAAGACCGUGUCUAUGUGCCCAAUGACCCGGAGAUCAGGAAGUUAAUUCUGCAAGAGGCCCAUGAUUCACCCUAUUCGAUUCACCUAGGGAAUACCAAGAUGUAUCUGGAUUUGAAGGAUAUUUUCUGGCGGACCGGAAUGAAGAAAGAAAUAGCAGAGUAUGUAGCAGUUUGUGAUGUAUGCCAGAGAGUAAAGGCAGAGCAUCAGAAGCCAGCAGGAUUGUUACAACCAUUGCCGAUACCCGAAUGGUAGUGGGAUAAGUUAGGCAUGGAUUUUAUCACGGGAUUGCCCAUGACUCGUUCAGGCUAUGACUCGAUUUGGGUUGUAGUCGAUCGAUUGACGAAAGUAGCUCAUUUCAUCCCAGUAAAGACCACUUAUACCAUUUCUAAGUUGGCAAAAAUAUACAUGACCAGAAUAGUAUGUCUGCAUGGAGUUCCGAGGAGUAUCGUAUCAGAUAGAGGAACCCAGUUUACCUCAAAGUUCUGGAAGCAGUUGCACGAAACUUUGGGAACCAGGCUAAAAUUCAGUACAGCUUUUCAUCCGUAGACAGAUGGGCAGACCGAGAGAGUCAAUCAGAUUUUGGAGGAUAUGCUGAGAGCUUGUGCGCUAGAUUAUGGAUCUAGUUGGGACAAUAAUUUGCCAUAUGCAGAGUUCUCUUACAACAACAGUUACCAAACCAGUUUGAAGAUGGCCCCUUUCGAAGUUUGUACGGAAGGAGGUGCAGGACACCGUUGUCGUGGGACGAAGUUGGAGACCAUCAGUUGUUUGGACCUGACUUGAUUAAGGAGUCUGAACAGAAAGUGAAGUUGAUUCACGAUAGGCUCAAGGUAGCCCAGUCCAGACAGAAGAGUUAUGCAGAUUCUAAACGCAAGGAGACAGUUUACGAAGUUGGAGACAGAGCUUAUCUUCGAGUAUCUCCACUUCGGGGAACAAAGCGUUUUGGAGUUAAAGGGAAGUUAGCGCCACGAUUUGUAGGACCAUAUCGAAUUUUGGAGCGUAUGGGAGAAGUGGCCUACAUGUUGAAAUUGCCCGAAGGAUUGUCAGGAAUUCAUGAUGUGUUCCACGUUUCUCAGUUAAAGAAGUGUCACGCGGAGAUGGCUGACAUACCAUUGAGAGACACAGUGCCUUUGGAAACUAUUCAGUUGGAUAACGAUUUGACCUACGAGGAGAAACCAGUUAAGAUCCUCGAGUUUGCCAGCCGAGUUACUCGCAGCAAAGUUAUCAAGUUUUGCAAGGUUCAGUGGAGCCACCACACGAAGGAUGAAGCCACCUGGGAACGAGAGGAAGAUUUGCUCAAAGACCACCCUCACCUAUUUUCUAGCCAACCCGAAUCUCGAGGGCGAGAUUCAUCUUAAGGGGGGUAGGUUUGUAACAUCCCAAAUUUUCAAUUUGGAAUGUUAUACAUUAGAUCAUCAUGCAUAUCAUAUUUUAUUUGCUUUGGGUUUUGAUCCUAGAAAAUUCCAAGCAACUCAAGGACCCACGGAGAGAGUUGGGGAUUUCGUUAUUUUCAUAUUUGAGUUUUUCUCAAAUUUUGAGAAUAGGAUCAUUUGAUUUUAUUUAUUUUAUCAUCAAUUAUUUCUAUUACAAAAUAUGAGAGAGGGAAUAAAAUGACUUUCCCAAAAUAUAGAAAUAUUGAGGAUUUAAUAAAAAAAUCAAAUAGUUUUAUUUCAGAGUUUUUUUUGUUGUUUUUAUUUGAAUUAGGAAAAUGCACGUUUUUCAAAAUUGCAUUUAGGGCCCAAAUAAAUGUUCACUUUGUCGGGCUUGAUUUUAGAAGCCCGGGAAAAUUUAUUUCGGGAUUUUUGGAGUCCGUUUAGUAUUUAUUUUUAUUUUUUUUCUUCCGAGCGAAAAAAAAACGGAACCGACUAUGGGCCGUACUCGGCCAGGACUCCGCCUGGCCGGGGCCUUUAUAAGUCGGGGCAAGCCAGCCCGAAGGCCCAGCCGCCCCGAAACCCUAGCCGCGCCCUAACCCUAGCCGCCAGCCGCCGCCGCCAGCCGCCGCCGCGCGUCGCCUGAGGUUUGCCGCACCUCAAAAUCCGUGCCGUUUAAAAAAAAUGAUUCCGUUCGUCGUUUUUCUUUUUCGUCGGAUUUUUCCGCGGUUAUUUUCUGAUCCGAUUUCUGAUCCGAUUUUUGGUUUAGUUUAACUUUUCACUCGUUUAUCGGAAUCAGGCGAUUCAAGCGCCUGGAGUUUCGUCUCGAAACCCUCUAUCCGAAUAAUCAACUUAAACAAGUUUUUGCUACUGUAAAAUUUGACUUUGGUUCAGAUUACUAGAAUGAAGUUGUUUUCUUUCGCCGUUUGACUUUCUUUGCUUCGUUCGAUUUGAUUCCUUUUGCCAACCGGAGUUCUUAAGUUGAACCUUCUGGUUAGAUCUCUUAUUUGAGUUUUACCUGUGCAUUAGAUGAGUACUUAUUGUAUGCUUUUUGUUUGCCUGCGAUAGAGUACCCGGAGUGCGCCGCCUGUUACUUUGAAUCGUUAGGUUUCACGGAUCAUCAGCAAGGCAAGUAACACUUUGAUCAUACCUUUUCUACAACCCAGUUUUUUUUGCAUUAGAUCAAUCUUCACACAUUGCAUGAUUAGGAUCUAAUUAAACUGUGGGAUGGGAAGUAGAUGAGGUAGUACCUAUUACCUGUUUAUUAUCAAACCUUUGGGAGUUACUUCUACGUUGCUUAUUAUGCCAUGCUAUGCUAGUAGACGUGGAUUGGGUGAGUGAAAUCCAUGACAGAUGUGAGAUUGAUAAUUAAUGGUUUAUCUAAGGUGGCAACUGAAAUACACAUCUGGGUGGAUUGAGGCACCUGGAUAUUCCAGGACCUGCCUGUUUUCUUUUGGACCACCACCCAGGCUCAAAGGGAUCAUGAGAUUUUUUCAAACUAGAAACUUCCGUGUGCAGCCACAAGCCAUUAUGGGCUCUGGCAUAGUUGAUUAAGUCGUGCGAACUCUUACAGGGUAGACUAGCAGAUGUAGGGGAAAGUAGGUGUACCGGUCUAUCCAUCGUAAGGUGCUAGCACUUCUGAAAGACUGUGUCUCGGUCAUCCGUUUCUCAAACACCAUGUAGUGCGAGAAAUCCAACGGAGGCGAUCGAGUCUUGUGGGGAAAAGUGUGCAAACCUCUGCAGAGUGUAACAAACUAAUCAUGAUUAGCCGUGUCCCCGAUUAUGGACAUCUUGAGUAUCUAGUAUCUGGAUUAUCAUGUGAAUCUCAACAUGUUACUCUAAAAUUAAUGUUGUUGGGUUAAUGAUGAUGCUUAAUUGGGAUUGAGAAUGCUGUCAACCAUUCUCAAUGUUUAACAACCACCAUGAUAGUAAUUAAAUUUAUUCCUUUUGAAGUAGGGAAAAAUUGGCUUUAUACAAAACUGUAACCAUAGAGCUUUCCACCAGCCAAAUAUGCAUAUAGUAUAGCUGUUGCAUUCCAUUACUCUCUAUGUGUUACCUUGCCAACAUAUUCCAUGUGCUGACCCGUUUUCGGGCUGCAACGUUAAUGUUGCAGACUUUUCAGACAAUGAUUAAGGAGUUUUUAGGUCGUGGUUCUAUACUCAGUGAUGCCGUUGGAGUUGAUGGACUCACUUAUCUUCCAAGCCUUCUGCUGUUAUCGUAAUUAGAUGGCCUUAAACCAUAUUUAUUGUAAUAAGUUCUCUUUUGAGACACUCGAUGUAAUAAGUGUGUGAUUGCUACUCUGUUAUAAAUCCUCCGAGUAUUGUGUGGUGUCAGCAUUACUGAUCCAGGGAUGACACCAGAGCACAGAGAUCAGACUGUUUGAGGUCUGGUCGCUACAGAAUCCGUCGAAGAUCAAGUUUCCGUGGAUAUCGGCCGUGUAGUUUAAGCUUCCAAACCUGACCUGGUGGCCAGGGCGUAACUUUCGAUCUGCUCCAGAUGGCCAAGUGAGUUGGCCCGCAGUGCGAAGCCGCCGAACACAAAGAUCUGUCUGGGGAGAAAAGUCUCACCCUGGACUGCAUCACUAUCGAUGAUCGUAGGAGCCAUCAAGCCUAAUGGCGAUGACACGGAGGAACUCUCAAUGAAAGCACCAAUGUCGGUGUCAAAACCGGCAGAUCUCGGGUAGGGGGUCCCGAACUGUGCGUCUAAGGCGGAUGGUAAUAGGAGGCAGGGACACGAUGUUUUACCCAGGUUCGGGCCCUCUUGAUGGAGGUAAUACCCUACGUCCUGCUUGAUUUAUUCUUGAUGAUAUGAGUAUUACAAGAGUUGAUCUACCACGAGAUCGGAGAGGCUAAACCCUAGAAGCUAGCCUAUGGUAUGAUUGUAUGUUGUCCUACGGACUAAAACCCUCCGGUUUAUAUAGACACCGGAGGGGCUAGGGUUACACAAGGUCGGUUACAAAGGAGGAGAUAUCCAUAUCCGUAUUGCCUAGGUUGCCUUCCACGCCAAGGAGAGUCCCAUCCAGACACGAGACGAAGUCUUCAAUCUUGUAUCUUCAUAGUCCAAUAGUCCGGCCAAAGGAUAUAGUCCGGCUGUCUAGAGACCCCCUAAUCCAAGACUCCCUCAGAGGCCAUGGACCAAAGGGGAAACCCUUCUCCCAUAUAGGGAGAAGGUCAAGGAAGAAGAAGAAGAAGGGGGGAGUUCUCUCCCCCUCUCUCCCGAUGGCGCCGGAACGCCGCCGGGGCCAUCAUCAUCACCGCAAUCUACACCAACAACUUCACCGCCAUCAUCACCAACUCUUCUCCCCUCUAUGCAGCGGUGUAACCCCUCUUUUACCUGCUAUAAUCUCUACUUAAACAUGGUGCUGAACGCUAUAUAUUGUUUCCCAAUGAUGUAUGGCUAUCCUAUGAUGUUUGAGUAGAUCUGUUUUGUCCUAUGGGUUAAUUGAUGAUCGUGAUUGGUUUGAGUUGCAUGUUUUAUUAUUGGUGCUAUCCUAUGGUGCUCUCCAUGUCGCGCAAGCGUGAGGGAUCCCCACUGUAGGGUUUGCAAUAUGUUCAUGAUUUGCUUAUGGUGGGUGGCAUGAGUGACAGAAGCACAGACCCGAGUAAGUAGGUUGUUUGCGUAUGGGAAUAAAUAGGACUUGAUACUUUAAUGCUAUGGUUGGGUUUUACCUUAAUGAUCUUUAGUAGUUGCGGAUGCUUGCUAGAGUUUCAAUCAUAAGUGCAUAUGAUCCAAGAAGAGAAAGUAUGUUAGCUUAUGCCUCUCCCUCAGAUAAAAUUGCAAUAAUGAUUACCUGUCUAGUUAUCGAUUGCCUAGGGACAAAUAACUUUCUCGUGACAAAAAGCUCUCUACUAAAACUAACUUAGUUGUGUCUUUAUCUAAACAGCCCCUACUUUUUAUUUACGCGCUCUUUAUUUUCUUGCAAACCUAUCCAACAAAACCUACAAAAUACUUCUAGUUUCAUACUUGUUGUAGGUAAAGCAAACGUUAAGCGUGCGUAGAGUUGUAUCGGUGGUCGAUAGAACUUGAGGGAAUAUUUGUUCUACCUUUAGGUCCUCGUUGGGUUCGACACUCUUACUUAUCGAAAGAGGCUACAAUUGAUCCCCUAUACUUGUGGGUUAUCAAGACCUUUUUCUAGCGCCGUUGCCGGGGAGUUAUAGCGUGGGGUGAAUAUUCUCGUGUGUUCUUGUUUGCUUUAUCACUAAGUAGAUUUUAUUUGCUGUUCUAAGUUGUUUUCUAUGUUUAAUUAUGGGUAGGAAACGUAAAAUACCAAAAAAAAUAGUUGUACCUAGUACACCAAUGGUUGAAGAGCCACUCAAAAUCUAUCACACUCCUGAAGCUUUUUACUUGGAUCAUCUUCGAUCCCUUUGUGCUCGUGCUAAAACCCCAACUAGUUUAGUUGAGGGAAAAUAUUUAGAUGAGCAUGCUUGUUAUGUGCGACACUGCUUAUCUCAAAAAGGGAAACUUUUACUGGAUCAAAUUCAUCGUUUGCAAUGCUAUGCUUGGAAUUUAUGUGAAAUAUAUGAUGUUACUUGUUGUUCUGAAAACCCUAAGAAACACCUUCGCUACCAAUGUGAGUUUAGUGAUAAUGGAAUUGUAUCUUCGUAUGCUAAGGGUGUUUAUAAUUAUUAUGAUGUUCAACAAAUUGAAGAAUUUGUUGCUUUUAAGGGUGCUUAUGAAAUUGCUUGUUUGAUUGAAAAGUAUGAUGCUACUCUUUACAAAUCUGAAAAUUUUGCCAUACUUGAAUAUUGUUAUGAUAAUUAUGCUUCUAAUGCCUAUGUUAAACCUUAUAUUGAGGACUCCUCCGCUGUCCAAGAAGAGACUAAUAUUUUGCACGAGUCUAUGGAAGAAGAAAUUGAUGAAACCAUGAGCUCAUUGGAUGAAAAAGAGGAUGAGGAGAGCGAAGAACAAAAGGAGGAAGAUCGGAUUGAUCACUUGUGCCCACCUUCUAAUGAGAGUACCUCUUCAACUCAUACAUUGUUUAAUUUCCCUUCGUGCUUACCGAAGGAUGAUUGCUAUGAUGACUGUUAUGAUCCCGUUGAUUCUCUUGAAAAAUCCCUUUUUGAUGAUGCUUGCUAUGCUUGUGGCCAAGAUGCCAAUAUGAAUUAUGCUUAUGGAGAUGAACUUGCUAUAGUUACUUAUGUUAAACAUGAAAUUGUUGCUAUUGCACCCACGCAUGAUAGUCCGAUUAUCUUUUUGAAUUCUCCCGACUACACUAUAUCGGAGAAGUUUACCCUUAUUAAGGAUUAUAUUGAUGGGUUGCGUUUUACUACUACACAUGAUGAUUUUGAUAGAUAUAAUAUGCAUGUGCUUGCUGCUCCUACUUGCAAUUAUUAUGAGAGAGGAACUACACCUCCGCCUCUCCGUGUUUCCAAUAUGAUAAAAUUGCAAGAAACUGUUUAUACUAUGCAUUGGCCUUUACUAUGUGUGCUUGAAUUGUUCUUUUAUGACAUGCCGAUGCAUAGGAAGAGAGUUAGACUCUGUUUUUGCAUGAUAUAUGUUACUUUGUGCUCACUACUAAAUGCCAAAUCAUUGCUAAUUCAAAUUGGCUUUGAUAUACCUUGGAAUCCGGGUGGAUCCAUUACUUGAGCACCUUAUGCCUAGCUUAAUGGCUUUAAAGAAAGCGCUGCCAGGGAGACAACCUGGAAGUUUUAGAGAGUCAUUUAUUUCUGUUGUGUUCUAUUAUAAAGUUUAAAAACAAAAAAAUAAAGAGGGGAACCCAAAACUUCUUCAAAAAGGAAAGUGAAAGUGAGAGAGACAAGCAUUAUUGAAGUGGGGGAGCUCCUUGAACUUUGUUCAUGCUCAUAGAAACUUUGUGAAUCUUUAUUACAGAAAAUUUUCAACUAAAAUAAUUAUCCCCUUGUAAAUUCCAUUAUGUAAUAAAAAUAAUGUUCCAAGAUUUGCCUCUAGGAUGUUUUAGAUGCUUGUUGGUUUGUACGGUGCAGGACAGAAAUUUUGGCUGUAGUGCGCGAUUUUACAUUUUUUACUGGAACGUCAAACGGCUCUGAAACUUUUUGCACUGUCUUUCUAUACAAAGUUUUUAUUUUUCCUAAUUUUGGUAGAAUUGUUUAAGUACCAGAGGUAUGGUGAAUGUUCAUAUUAUUACAGACUGUUCUGUUUUAGACAGAUUCUGUUUUUGAUGUAUAGUUUGCUUGUUUUGAUGAAACUAUCGAUUUAUAUCAGUGGAUUAAGCCAUGUAAAAGUUAUAUUACAGUAUCUAAAAUGCAAAAACAAAAUAUGAAUUGGUUUGCAACAGUACUUAGAGUAGUGAUUUUCUUUAUUAUACUAACGGAUCUUACCGAGUUUUCUGUUGAGUUUUGUGUAUUGAAGUUUUCAUGUUUUGGGAGAGAUCACGAUGGAUGAAGGAAUAAGGAGUGGCAAGAGCCUAAGCUUGGGGAUGCCCGAGGCACCCCAAGGAAAUAUUCAAGGACUCCCAAGCAACCAAGCUUGGGGAUGCUCCGGAAGGCAUCCCCUCUUUCUUCUAACGAUCAUCGGUAAUUUCACUUGGAGCUAUAUUUUUAUUCGUCACAUGAUAUGCGUAAAUCUUGGAGCGUCUUUUGCAUUUAGUUUUCACUUUUCUUUGAUGCACCAUGCUGGUAUGAGAUAGUCCAUGGUUGAUUUAUAGAAUGCUCUUUGCACUUCACUUAUAUCUUUUGAGUUGGCUUUGUAGAAUGCUUCAUGUGCUUCACUUAUAUCAUUUGGAGUUUGGAUUGCCUGUUUCUCUUCACAUAGAAAACCGCCAUUUGUAGAAUGAUCUUUUGCUUCACUUAUAUUUGCUAGAGCAUGGGCAUAUAUUUUGUAGAAAUAAAUAAACUCUCUUUCUUCACUUAUAUUUAUUUAGAGAGAUGACAGGAACUGGUCAUUCACAUGGUUAGUCAUAAAAUCCUACAUAAAACUUGUAGAUCACUGAAUAUGAUAUGUUUGAUUCCUUGCAAUAGUUUUGCGAUAUAAAGAUGGUGAUAUUAGAGUCAUGCUAGUGGGUAGUUGUGGAUUGUAGAAAUACUUGUGUUGAAGUUUGUGAUUCCCAUAGCAUGCACGUAUGGUGAACCGUUAUGUGAUGAAGUCGGAGCAUGAGGUAUUUAUUGAUUGUCUUCCUUAUGAGUGGCGGUCGGGGACGAGCGAUGGUCUUUUACUACCAAUCUAUCCCCCUAGGAGCAUGCGCGUAGUACUUUGUUUUGAUGACUAAUAGAUUUUUUCAAUAAGUAUGUGAGUUCUUUAUGACUAAUGUUGAGUCCAUGGAUUAUAUGCACUCUCACGCUUCCAUCAUUGCUAGCCUCUUCGGUACCGUGCAUUGCCCUUUCUCACCUCGAGAGUUGGUGCAAACUUCGCCGGUGCAUCCAAACCCUGUGAUACGAUACGCUCUAUCACCCAUAAACCUCCUUAUAUCUUCCUCAAAACAGCCACCAUACCUACCUAUCAUGGCAUUUCCAUAGCCAUUCCGAGAUAAUAUUGCCAUGCAACUUCCAUCAUCAUCAUAUACAUGACUUGAGCAUCAUUGUCAUAUUGCUUUGCAUGAUCAUAAGAUAGCUAGCAUGAUCAUUUCAUGGCUUAUCCAUUUUUUGAUGUCAUUGCUACACUAGAUCAUUGCACAUCCUGGUACACCGCCGGAGGCAUUCAUAUAGAGCCAUAUUUUGUUCUAGUAUCGAGUUGUAAUAUUGAGUUGUAAGUAAAUAAAAGUGUGAUGAUCAUCAUUAUUAGAGAAUUGUGCCAUGUGAGGGAAGGAUGAUGGAAGCUAUGAUUCCCUCACAAGUUGCGAUGAGUCUCCGAACUUUACAAAAAAAAGAGGCCAAAGAAGCCCACCAAAAAAAGAAAAAAAC
rnacentral:lncRNA from 1 species